rnacentral:lncRNA from 1 species
CAAUAUAAAACAUAACCUCAUAUUGAAAACAGCUAAAACUUUGCGCAGUAAGAGUGGAUUCGGGUAUUCUGUUAUUCCGUUGACCUUUCCGAAAAGCUUGAUUAGUUAACCGCGUAAGGAGCUGAAUAACUCCCUACUCGAUUCUGAUCAAGUUGUCAAGGAGUCUAGGCUGCUAGAACAAUAACAUAUUGAAUACGAAAAGUCCAAAGGAAACCCCUGUGGCACUAAUGCCUGCACUCCGUAGAUUACUGCCAACAACCAAGGCGCAAUAUCCCACAAGAAUCAAACCUCGUGAAUCGGUUCUCGCCUGAGAUCAUCCUAAAGUAGUUUGGCUCUAGAUGCAACCAACCCUCUUGCAAGCCCCGACUACUUCAGGCAAUCCGAUCCGCAAUUUUUUGAACGAAGUGCAAGAACGAGUCGAAGUAGAUUCGCAGGUCAUGCAGUGGUGCAUUACAAAACACUAUAAUAUGUGUACAUCGAAUAGUAACAGAUUUCUACGGAUUGAAUCAUGCAUUCAAAUCGCUUCCCAUGAGGGGCUAAAGUAACAUUGCAAGCACAUAAGUUCUUCCUGAACCAUUGAAUGCACCUGAUUUCGAGCUAGAGUCCACCUCCUGCUCAGCCUCAGCCACAGACCAACCCCCCAAUUCUUCAUUCAAAGAAUCACCAUCGGAACGCAAUUUGGAUUCCCGCUUCUCUUCGACAAGCGGCCUGUGACCCUCGCCUUCCUCCGCACUACACCGGACAGAAGACAGUCUCAACUGCAAACUCGGCACUGCCACGCGAGCUGUCGAUGACAGUCGUCCCCGUCCAAACCCUAACGCAGGGCGCUGCACCAAACACGAUGAAGCAGGCAACGGGCGCACUGCAACAAAUGCCAUCACUUCAACCCCCCGCACAAACACUGACAAAUCCAACACCAAUAUCAAUUCAAUCGCAGCAAAGGAAUUGGACGCCUAGAUCAUCUCCUGCCCACCCUCGCGAUGUCCGAUCUCAUGGUGCCAGGGAACAAUUCUCAACACUGGAAGCAUCUCAUCUCCUGGCCCUGAUGCGAGCGAGGUAUUGAUCAGCUUCACAAUGGGCGGCGAAAGCCCAGUCCGGCCCCGGUUCUCUUCUCAUGCCCAUCUGGCACCCAGCUGGCCGCCAAAAUUGACCCAGGUGGCAGGGUUUGAAGGGGUCGGAAUUAUGCCACGUAGGAGCGUUGUUUCAGAAGGGGUUUUGGUCACAUUCAGAAAACAUGACGCACUUCAUUUUUAUGAGCAGGAAGAAUGUGAUGGAUUUGAGUAGUUGAAUCCCUCGCGAUGCAAUGUUUAGUGAUCUGUUUUGUUUGUAACUAAUAAACUUGCAGAUAAAGGGAAGCUUUCUGAUGAGUAUCUUGUUGGCCCUUGUAGUGUACGACCUGUAUAAUUAAUACAGGCUUUUAGAGCAAACCAAUCUGCUUCUAAAUGUCGGUAUGGUGUCUCCGAGGAAAUCGUCUUCGAUGGUUUACAUGCACAUCGACGGGAUUCAUUGGUUACUGCGUGUGAAAACAGCGUCCAGAUGAUGUCUGAGCUCACGAUGCUCACGAACAGAACCUCAAUAAGGACGACACACUUGGUGGCAAUUUUCAAUAACAACGUUUUUUUGUGAGCGUUGCUGUGCAAAACAGCAGAAGAUCGUGCCCAGUAGGAUACUGUGCAUCGAAAGGCGGAGGCAGUAAGUGAAUCGAGAGGUAAAAGAAUCUUGCUCAAGGUUUUCAAGAAUCUACACAUAUUUGAUUCACUCAAGUAUCGGACAGCUUGAAGAAAUGUCAAUCACAAAAGUUAUGGCAUCGAAAGCGAUUCGCUUGGGGCAGUUGCUUUCUGUCAUCCCCUGUUGCUAAAUGGAUUCUACAGGUUUGGAUUCCGCUGAUACUCAUGUUUUGGUUCCACGAUAUUGACUUAAAUGCACAAUUGCUGCACAGGCACCUGAAACUGAAUUAAAGCGAAUCGCGAUGUAUUUUUAAAGGCAGCAAGAUUGUUCUUGUAUUCUGGAGUAUAGCCAACAUAUACAUCUGGGAGGAGAAAUUUGUAAGUCAGAAGGUAGCAUCAAACAGAAUCCGCUACCCACGACCGAACCGAAAAUAGACAAACGCUCAUGCAGAUAUGUUUUGCGCAUGGAAAGAGCAGGCGAAAUCAUUCAAAGCCUCCGUACUCGCGCUAUGGAAUGUUGCAUUUUAGUUGAGAAAACUCGACUCUCAACCUCGGUCUCUUGAUCGCCGUAGUUUGAUUGUACAACUGCGCGAAACAGUCAAGUUUGCAGUCGUCGACGAGGAAUUGAAAGCGGAGAGGCACAACACGAUGGAACCAGAUAUGACCUGUGACUGACUCAAACAUUGCCGGGUGUUUGUACAAGUCCGGUCAUAAGUAGUUUCUCCGGGUAUGUGGAAACUUGCAUGGAAUCGCCGCAUUUUUGGAUUCCAAUUUAGCGUGAGUUGCGUUCACACGUACGUGUGUGUGCGUCUCUCGGUGCGGAACAUGCUCGGCCAGAUGCCUUGGCCGAUGCUCCCGGCGAUGCUCUUCGUCCUCGCCGCACAUGCUUUCUUCGAUACCUGGAUGCGAUUUUCCUUUUUGCAGCCGGAGCCAACCUCGGCCACUAACUUUCUUGCCGCCUGGUUCUUUUCUCGUCGAUUUCAGUCACGUCAUUCGUUAAGGCCUUCGGAACUGCUGGAGUUUCCGCGAUCACCAAACUCAUUUCGUCGAUUUAAUUAUUAAGUAGACUCGAGGCCUUCGUUGCAUCCAGCUGACGCGCGUCGCGAGCAACGUGUCGUCUUGCUUCCGACGUCUCGCUGUUGCGUUCUGGGGAAGUUGGUGCUCAUAGUUCGGGCACCUGGUUAUAAUUUGGUAAAUUAGAGUCUUACUCAAGCUUUGUGUUGGAGAGUUUAGGGUUUGCGGUCGUUGGUUCUGGCUCUGGCUGAAGAAUUGGGUGCAUUUGCUUUAGGUCUAAUUGGAUAUUGGUUUCUGGUUGAAUGGUACCGGCAGUACUUUGUACCUGGCAAUGCUCGUAGCCUUGGGUAGUUCUUCUGGCUAACUUUCAGCUCUAGUUGUAGGAAUCAUAUUGGCAGAGCUACUUCCACUGUUUUUGAUUGCUUUGAGUUACAAAUAUUGUUGUGAAGGUUGAAUCUCUCAAGUGAACUCUUAUAUUUGCGUUCGUAGUUCUUCAAAUUCCCGUGAAAGUAGCUCAGACCACUAUCUACUAGUUUUUAUUCACUAGGAAAAUGAGUAGGAGUACUGUUUGCUACUGCGCGGUUCAAUACAACCAAUAGUUUUUUAACGGUGAAGGUGUUCCUCACUUAGGGUUUCGAGAUUUUACUGGAGGUCAGUUUGAACUUUGGAGCACUGAACUAGCCGUUUUGCAGGGGACGUGGUUUCUUCGUUGACAAGGUGUUCAUUUGAUCUUGGAACUGUCAGGACGAUUUUAUUUCUGCUGCCAAAAUAGCGGUGCGUUGUUUUGUACCAAGUACUCUUUUCACAUGUUUAUGACCGUUGUAGUUGAGCUCUUUCCAAAAAAGAAAUGAAAAGCAAAGAAAAGAAACAUGAAAGUUCUCCUACGCACUCAAUUCAUAUUUCAUCAAAGAUGAGAUUGUGCGUCCAGCAGUGUUCGGAAUAUGUGCGUGUAGUUGAUGUUUAGCAUGAAUGUCAAGUCUGGCGAACCCUCACUUUUCCAAAGCUUUGCGGGAAUGAAGACUUCUAAUUUUGUCCGACCUCAAAAUUCAUGUAGUGGUUGAAACCACAAUUUUGUUCUCUUCGUUCUCUUUGUAUUUUAAAGUAUGAUUCUUAAUCGGUAGAUUUGCGGUUUGAAUUGUAUUUUGGAUUUCUACGUGCGCUGUUGGCUGACGGUAAUUUGAGCUUGCUAGUUCUUUCUGAAGCACGCAUUUAUUUUUAAGAGCAAUCAGAAGAUGGGACAACAAUGCUUUUUAUCCAAGAUUGGCAUUGUGGUCAACACAAUAAUUUAGUCAUCUGGUAUGCUAAAUGUUGAUGUUAAUGGUCCUUCACAUAGCCAACACCUUGUCCUCAUAUUACCUGUGUUCCUGGUAUUGCAGGAAAAUCCGUACAAUGUCGUCUCAGUUGUAGAUCAUGGGAUAUAGUCACGGAGGAACUUUAUAUGAUCAUCUAAAUGCUGCUACUACUUUCUUGGAGGCCGCAACAGCAUCACCUGCUGGGCAAAGUAGCAUAUUCUAAAAGGUCCAUGAGAACAUGCGAUUGGCUAUUAGUACUUGCUUGUUCUACAGGAGGAGAAGUCGACGACGACGAGUGCAGGUGUGAAUUAUCAGCAUUCAGAACAUUGGAACAUUUUUAAAAAUUCGACUUUAUUUCAGAGAAAGACCUGCUGCUUGUGACGAUGAUCCCACUGGUUGUGCACGUCAUGAGUCUUUGACUUAGCAAAGAUUGGUUGGGUUAUUAGCAUAUUAGUGGUGAAAGUGGGAGAACAUGGACGUUAUUAGCGUUUUAUCUCCUGGUUCAAGCCUAAAGCAUACUCCACCGAAAAAAUUGGGAGGUGGGAACUGCAACGAUAUAUGGGCUGCGGUACGAAAUGGCUCGGUGCAGGAUGUGGAACUGGCUUUAGCGUCUAUGAAAAAAUGCAAUGGGAAUGUUGAUGCUAGAAGUGUAUUUGGCUCUACUGCGCUACACAUCGCAGUCUGGCGAAACCACAUACCAAUUGUCCGACGUCUGCUUGCAGCUGGUGCUAAUCCUGACGCUAGGGUGAGUUUCAGAGCUACCCCGCGUCUUAUGGAUAGAAUUUAUCUUCGCCAACCUUAAAAAUAUUUUCACUUUAUAAUGUCCAAAGUUUUCAACAGAAUCACUUUGUCCUGUUGGGGUGCUUCUUCCCACUUUCCCCACCAAAAGGACGGCUUAUCUUUUGUGGAGUCAUGCUCCGUUUAUCUGACCCCAAGUUUGGAAGUUUUACUCUAUUGCUGCGAUGGGCUCUACUUGUUCUAUGUUCCACCUGGACGCUGUCAUGUCCCUAAAACCAUGAUACUGCUACUACAAUCGAUUGUGGUAUGAACAAACCCCCUGUCGAAGCUUGAAAGUUGUCAUUUGGCUCGAGCAGGAUGGCGAGUCCGGAUGGAGCAGCUUGCACAGGGCUUUUCAUUUUGGGCAUCUGACGGUUGCUGGUGUGCUUUUGCAAGCGGGUGCUUCUUUAACGAUUGAGGAUACAAAAGGGCGAAUACCUAUUGACCUCAUAUCUGGCCCUGUUAAGAGUGUCAUUUCCAACUCAGGUGCAGCAUUUGCAAACAUUAUGUCCAGUUCCCGAAGCCUUGAAUUUGCGGUUCAUUUAUAAAUUUUUCUACUCUAAACUUGUGGAGAAAGCGGACCAUAUCUGGAAAGAUCUCGUUCUAUUAAUUUUGAUUGUUAUUUGGCUGAGUCAUUCGUCACGAUGCCUUCGAUGCAUAAGUUAGGUUGUUCUAAAUUGUGUCUUUCAGUAGAACCAGGCUGUGAGAUUGCUGUCCCUUGCAAUAUUGCAGUGUCAGCGAUUAACUGUACAUGAAACUCUCAGUGCCCAACUUGCUACGCCUAUUCGGAGCAGCUUGCAUCAUCUUGGGUAGUAUUUGUUGCAUCUGUUUACAGAAAUCUUUUUUACGAUCCAGUUAUUUAUCCUAUGGACGUUUGUUUUUGUCUGCAGUUAUGACUGAGGUAUACAGUUGGGGUAAUGGUGCAAAUUAUCAGCUGGGAACAGGAACUGCUGGUAUUCAGAGAAUACCGUGCCGAUUGGACACUUUGCAAAACCUUGACAUCACAUACGUUGCAGCAGCUAAAUUCCAUAGUGCAGCUGUUACCGCAAAUGGUGACAUGUAUACUUGGGGCUUCGGGCGUGGUGGUCGACUUGGGCAUCCUGAUUUUGAUAUCCACAGGUUCGCGUCUUGCUUUUUGUGAUAUUUGGUAGGUAUGCCAGGAUUUGCAUGUUUGGUUGCGUUUCUUGAUUGUUUACUUCAGAUCUUUGUUGGGGUUAAUCAUAUUUCUCUUGAGAUGCAGUGGACAAGUUGCGGUUAUUAUUCCUCGACAAGUCACCAGUGGGCUUGCUGGUAAGAAGGUGAAUUCAAUUGCUGUGGCUAAACAUCACAGUGUCAUUUCUACGGAUGGAGGAGAAGUCUACACCUGGGGUUCUAAUCGAGGUUGGUUUCUCUAUAUUUCUUGCCCACCUUGAAGCAUCAUGAAACAAAUUCUGGAUGUUAGUGAACGUGCUUCUUUCAAGUAUUAUCUAGAAGUGAGCUCUCUUUGUCAUGAUAAAAAUGGCACUUGUAUUGUAUUGGCUUUCAGAUGGUCGCCUAGGUUAUCCGUCCGUGGAUACACAAGCUACUCCACGCAAAGUUGGUACUCUCAAGGUUCGUGUGUCAAUAGUGGCAGCAGCAAACAAGCACAGUGCUGUUCUGACACAAUGCGGGGACGUCUAUACUUGGGGUUGUAACAGUGAAGGGCAGUUGGGUUAUGGUACCUCUAAUUCUGCAUCCAAUUGCAUGCCUCGGUGGAUUGAUUAUCUGAAGGGUAGAAAAUUAGUGACUAUUUCUACUGCAAAAUACCAUACUGUAGUCCUUGAAGAGUCUAAACGGGAGGACGGGGAGUUCGAGCACAAGGUAAACUUUGCACGUGGUUUAAUUGUUGUCAGUAAGCAAUGUAGGAUAUUAAAUUAGUACCUAUUUUAAGUUGUCCAAUUCUUAUUACCACCAGUUACGUGUUCUAUUCCUAGAUAGCAUUCGAAUGUGGUUGGAUGUAUCAGUGCAUCAGCUCCUUAAUCAUCGUCCCUUCUCUUUAGUGGUCAUCAUGAAUCUAAGUCGCCCUACCCUUUUUAUAUUUUAAAAAUUAAUUUCUGUCUGCUUUUUGAUGUUACAAGCGGCAUUGGAUUAUGAAGUGUUAGUCGAUUUUGCUCAUUUGUGGAUGGUUUUUUUUCAGGUUCUGACUUGGGGCUAUAAGAUGGUGACUCCUCGCCGUGUGAUUAUUGCUCGAGAUAUUAAGAAGAGAGGAUCCUGUCCAUUGAAGUUUCAUAAAAAGGGUCGUAGAGAUCAGGUGGUUGCUAUUGCUGCAGGCAUGACUCAUAGCACAAUAGUCGCAGAGGAUGGUCUAAUCUUCUAUUGGGUAUCUGCUGAUCCAAAUCUGCGGACUCACCAGGUAAAACCUGAGUGUUAAUGAAGGUUUACGCUCGUGUAAUUUAUAAAUGUUUGUUUUUCGGUUCUCAGCAAUUCUUGUCCUUGUAGACUAUCUAUUUCUAUCUUUUUUUAUGUGGAGACCUUCAAAUGAUGAAUUUCUUAACGGUUUGCAGAUCUUAAUUUGAGAUGUGCUUGCUGUAGUGGUCUUCUGGUGUUCCUAACCAGAUUUCAACUUCCCAGUUCUGAGUACAGAGGUUGUAUAUAUACUUAUUGCGAGCCACUAUCCUGCUUCUUUUUCUGACUGUUACAUUUGUGAGCAGCUCUCUUCUAUGGCAGGCCACCAAGUUGUGGCCGUUGCAGCUGGCAAGUACCGAACUGCAGUAACAACAAGCACUGGGAAUGUCUAUGUCUGGGAUGGUGAAGGAAGCAAGGCAAAUGUUCAUCCAUCUCCUGUUCGUGUUCAUGGUGCAAAGCACAUUACAGGAUUGUCUGUUGGAGAAACUCACUCACUCGCUGUUGCUGCACUGUAUGCCCCUACUUACUCCACGAAGCCGCCCAAUGAGGUGCUUGGAGAUUCUAAGACGAUUGGAGAAGGUGAGGAAUCUGCUGGUGAAGACCCUGAAAUGGAGGAAGAAUCUAGGACACUUGGGCCUGUCGUUCCGAAAAGCGUGGAUGAAGGGGUACCUAGUCUGAAGGAUUUGUGUCAAAAAGUUGUCACCGAGUCGAUUGUUGAACCCAAGAAUGCUCUUCAGAUUCUUGAAUUCGCAGAUUCUAUAGGUGCAGAUCAUUUGAGGCGAUACUGUGAGGUGAAUUUCCUCUCUUCGGCAAUCUCUUUCAAGUUCAAGUCUUCCAUUAUCACUUUAUAACAGUCACCUGUGGAUAACGGUUAGGAUUGCAUGUACGAUUUGUGAGGAUUUUUUUCACUUCUGCUGCGCAAAUAAUUUCCGUUUACGACAAGCAAAACUUUGCGCGUACAUUAGGCACGUAACCUGUGGUACAUUUAUGAUGCACCGCAGUGGUGUGGACUUGUAUUUUUUCUUAUUUGUCGUCAUUCUGACUAACUUACUUGGGGUUUGCAGGACCUAGUACUUCGUAAUCUGGAUUACAUUCUCACCAUCUCUCCCUCGAUAUUUGCACAACUACCAUCUGCCCUCUUGGCCGAGUUAGAAAAAGCUCUCGACUCUAAUUCGGGUGAGUCGUGGAGUUACAGAUUACUACCAACGCCUAGUGCAACCCUACCGGUUGUUAUAGACAGUGAAGAAGAGGAUGGUGAUGUUGGUGAUUUACGGACACGCAAUUUUCGGGUUGGAAGUAUGGAGCAAGACAUCCUGGUAGAGAACACGUCUAAUGAAGGUUUCUUGACUCCUAGGAACGUUGGAGGGGAGGAUGUAGUUGGUAAACAUAUACGGGCUGUGCGGAAGAAGCUUCAACAAAUCGAGGCACUUGAGUUGAAACAGUUCAAGGGUCAUGAUCUAGAUAGUCAGCAGUUGGCUAAGCUUCAAACAAAGCAUGAGUUAGAAAUUUCACUGUCAUUGCUCGAGUCUGGAGUAAUACCGCCAUUGUUAGCAGUAUCUAAGGCAAAUAGUAGUCCUAUCGAGAAGGAGAUUAAGGGUUCUCCAGGUCAUACAGAAAAUACAAGUGCCUCCAAACCUGGUGGUCGCACUGGACGAAGAAAAGGCAAAGUUUCAGGAGGACAUGCGCAGAGUGUCUAUCGACCUACCUCUGUUAAAUCCACGGAUUCAAAUAUUGCUGAAGACUUCGAUCUUCAGGUAAUUCUACUUUCAUAUUUAAGCAUGUUAUUAUUAGAAAAGGUGGUUCCUUUUUCUGGUAUUUCAAAUGACGAUCUUCAGGACUGCCGUAAUUUGGAAUUUUGAUGAGAUAUUUAUCUUUCGAUUUAUGCAGGAAGCUCUUGAACAGAUUGCUGUGCUGGAGAGCACAGGAGAACCAAGUAACUCCUCUCCUUCUGUACCCUCUAUCUCUCAGAAUGAGCCUCAGGUUCCUCAGAACACCCCUUCAUCCCUUGGAUUUAAGGAAAUUUCAGGGUUUUCUCCUGCUGGUUUAUCUGCUUCAUCGGGCUCUUGGAAAACCUCUCAAACUUCCAAGUCAGCGUCGUCUAAAAGGAAAGCUAAGAAGGGCGGCCUUUCUAUGUUUCUCAGUGGAGAACUGGAGGCACCACCCAAAGCACUUCCUCCAACUCCCCCUCCUGUACCGAAAGUUGAUGGUCCAGCAUGGGGUGGCGUUCAUCUGCUCAAGGGGUCUGCAUCAUUACGGGAGAUACAAAACCAGGAGAGUGUUGAAGCUAUCCAAUCGAAAGGAACAACGGUUGGUUCUGUAGAGAUUGGCUCAUCCACGAAGUUGAGCUCAGUUGGUCUCGCUUCCACUAACGAGAAAUCCAUACCGGGAAUUGGUCUUAAAGAAAUGGGCAUGAAAAAGUCCAACAGUUUAGGAAAAUCUUCAGUAUUAAGGAACCCGAUUUUGGAAAUGGUUGAAGUAAGCAGUACUAAGGGUAGAAAUCCUCAACCAGCCUUAAGUUUUGUAAAGACUACUUCUGUAGGGUCCAAUAGUAGUAGGGCCAACUUGGGUCGUAGUGAAAUAGCUAUCGAAUCAUCAUUUGAUGAAACAGACAGAGGAGCGCUGCGGGUAACCCUUAGCGAUUUUGUUCGAGGUUCAGCCUCCAUCGCUGUAACGUCAUCGAAGCAGUCUCAGAGUUUACAUCCAGAGAACAGUCCUCCUGCCUGGGCUGGACGAUCUCCAGGAACCUCAGCUCCUUUGCUGCGCGAUAUCCAAGACCAACAAGUAUGUCUCACAUUCACAACCUCCAGCAACGCAUGUUUUGACCAUUCGCAGAACCAGAUAACGAGACAAAUGUCUUUUCUUACCUUUUAAAUUUCAUGGUACUGUCAUGUAUGUGGACGUUGUAUUUGUUAACUUCUAUCCUGCACAUGGUCUAAUCAAGUAAUUGGUUUGUGUAGGUAAAGCAACACAAAGCACAGCAGCGCCCAAUUGCAUUACGAAGCAGUCCACAGCUUACUAGUCCCUUGGGUUUAAUGGUAUCCGCACCUGGAAGGAGCAGCCAAGUUCCGGACCAUGGCUCCCCAUCCACUGAGGCUCCCAGUCGAUGGUACAAACCAGAAAUUAUCAACCCUUCUCCUAUUCGUAACAUCCAGAAAGAGGAAGAGGCAAUGAAAGAUUUGCGGCGUCUAUACAAGACGGUGAAAAUCGUGAGGCCGGUGGACAACUAAUCAACUGUUCAUUAGUUACGAAUUUCAUACUUCUGAUGUGCUAUCCCAGCAAUAGAGUUGUAUAUCGAUCAAUCUUCGUGUGUUUGUCAAUAUUUUUGAUAUGGUGGUUGUUGAUCAGUGGAAAAGCUCACUACUGGUGAGUCCAUUCCCUUCCAGGCUCGGCAAUAUGCUCUUGAUGAUCUCAUUUUUGAGUUUUGCUUUGUAUCCAGUAGGAGAUAAUGAAGGUUUCCAAGAUUUUCUUAGUUUGACUAUUCGUCUCAUCUGCUGUCUCAGGCACUUGUACAUUUUCUAGGUGCAGUUUCAGAAAUCUACACAACGUUUUAAUUUUUGUUCUUGGUCUUACUCUGGCUUAUGCGUACCCAUUAUUAGAUUAUUUUUCAAGAGUGUGAUCCCCCAAUUCCUGGAAUGCUUGAAGAAGCUUAUUCCUAGUCUUUUUAGGAGAACAUGUGCAUGAAAUAUCCACUUAGAAUGGAGAUUUUGAAAACUUGAUUUGCUGCAAGUGUUCAAUAUAAUUCUGCUUCUAAUCUGUGCGUGUAACACUCUUCGUAUUGUUACCUCCCACAAGAAGUGCUGGCGUAGUCCUGCCGUCAUCGGAAGGAAGUCUUCCCUUCUUACAACUUACAGUUGGAAACAUGCUUGGCAUCUAGUUCUAGGCCUUUGAAAGGAUGACUUAACUUUCCUAUACAAGUGUUUGGAGUUGAUAUAACUGAAAUGUGCUUGUACGCAUGUCUGUAUGUAUGUACAUACGUACUUGCAAAGGCGUGCAGUCAACACCCAUUUUCAAGAUCAUAAAAGCUGGCCCCUGCUGCUUGCGGCAUUCCUAUCACAUGAGCUUACUGUAAAUUCUCGAUUGCUAAAUAAUCUCUGUAAACCUUACGCCUCUGGAAGUACGUGUGUUUAUAUAUACAAUUGGUGUAUACAUGUAAAGUGUGCUACUGAUGUCUCCACAAGUUUUGUUACUGCCACCACUGUUUAUUUUUAUUCAAUUUGUUUUUAUUUUUAAAAUAUUUUGAAUUAACAUAUUAAGAAUAUUAAUAAAAAAGUUGUUGGAAUAAAAAAUAUUAAAGUAAUAUGUCAAAUGAGUAGCGGGUUGUAGUGGCAGUAGCAUAAAAACUGUGAUUGCAAUGACAAUAUCCAUAUAAAUAUAUAUUUAUGUGUAUAUUUCAGAUGUUUUUGUGAUUGCAAUGACAAUAUCCAUAUAAAUAUAUAUUUAUGUAUAUAUUUCAGAUGUUUUUGUGAUUGCAAUGACAAUAUCCAUAUAAAUAUAUAUUUAUGUGUAUAUUUCAGAUGUUUUUAUGGAGUAGGAAGUCUUUGCAAUAUUAUACUGUGAACAAAAUAAAGUUUCUGAGAAAAUUUAAAUGGUGUAUUUUUUGUAUUUAUAUAAGUGAUAUGUAUACUUCUCGAAUAGAGCACACUUGACCCAUAUCUAAAUGACGUCGAAAAGGCUCCACAUAAUAAUCAUUGCAAAGCUAGAAUUUCUACUUAAUUCCGUGAAAUGCGACUAUUAUUAUCUUCUGAAAAACCACGGAAUACGCAAAAAUAAGCACGGCCGAUUAUAGUACACCUUUACCAGUGGAUUGAUUGUGGCGACAAGCUUCUAAAAUUAAGAGUGAUGAUUUAGAAGAACGGUCCCUAAAAUCAGAAGACAAGGUUAACCGUCAUAGCAUCAGAAAAGCUGACGCAAGUAAUUAAUUUUCAGCAUAUGAUUGAAGUCUAGGAUAUUUCUCAACCACUGUCUCCCACUGUCGAAGAAAAAGAUCAAUGUCCUCAGCUAACUAAAGCCUUCGUGUUGGAUAUUCUACGUAGAUCACCUUCUGGGUCCCUUGCCCUUGGCAGUGACAAUUUCAGGAAACUUAAGUGGUACAGGCAGAGUAACCCUCCACUUGCCCUGUGCACUGUCAGGAUCCCCCAGCUCCCUCCGUUCAUUGAUAGAUCGAGCCUCAAACUUGCACCCAAGCUCACGAUAAUAAGGCCGUAUGGUGUUCACAGUUUGCUUUAACUCAAGUGCCAUAUCAUACGGGUCAGCCUGAAAAUCGUCGACGGCCAAUCCUAAGAUUAGACAGUAGCUUGUGAGAAGAUCUUUAUGCUGCUUGGACUGAAUGCGAAUUUCAGAUUUGUUGAGAGAAUCCGUUGUGCUCUCGCCCGCAAAUCGUUCCAAGAAACUUGAAACAAUUAUACCAGGUAUGCCUGUUUCUUGUGAAAACCUUCCAGGAUCUGAAGCCGCCUUCCUCACAGCGUAGUGAGGAGUUGCAUGAAAGGUAAACAGAUGUCUCAAAUACACCAAUAUUUUAGCUCGCCGAUCAUUACCUUCUUUGUCUCCCUGCAAAAAUGGUUUGAGAUAACGUUUCAGUUUCAUAGUCCGCUGCUCCUUGCUAUUAAAAUAAGAAAUCACACCCGUCACAGAAUAAAGAAUACUGAUACUGCGCAGGCUUUGGAUCGUAAGAACACUAGUAAAUAUUCAACGUGCUCACAGUUCACUAUCCCGGGACUUGAAGCUCCUCAACGAAGAACGAAUCCAUAAUGACUACGCUCAUUGCAAUAAAAAAAACUAAGAAAGGAAGAGAAUCUGUUAUCUGCUAACCUCAACCCUGAUCCUUCUUAGACGACUGAGCACGAAGUUGGGAUACUUUUGCUGACGAAGUAGUUCUUCAUCUUUGGCCUUCUUGGCUGCUGUCUUCAACUCACGGGUAUCCAAAUUCUCCCAUUCUUCAGCCGGAAUGAGCUUAUCAAGAGGGUAAGCCCCUUCGGGCGUAUUUGCAGAAACAUCAUGAGGCGGAACGUUGCGAACAACAGAUAAGUUAGCUUGUUGCAGAGCUUGCUCAUUGGUAAGAAGGGCUUCGUUUUCACCCGCUUCCUGGAAAAGGGACUCCAUAUCUUCGGUGUCUCCUAGUGCAUCCUCCUUUACAAUUCCUCUCUCCAUCCGUUGUGCCUGUGCGCAGGUCAGCAUUAGCAGAACAUCUCUAAAGAUAAAAAUUCAUUCAAUCUUGUCAAAAGAAAAGAAAAUGAGGAAGUAGAAGUAGUAAUUCAGAAUGGAUCUAUGCCUGAAUCAAAGUAAUAGUGCACCACUAAUUUCACAAAUACAAAAUUUACACGUUGAUUGCACGCUGACACAUCCUGCGAACCUGCUAGCCUCUUUAGAGACAUUGUAUUUAUAACUAAUCCACACAUAGUGCGAAAAGAAGACAAAAAAAUGAGUGUCGACUAACUAUGGGGAAUAGCGUGAUCCGACUUACCCGCAUUUUACUCUUCUGGCUGCCAAAUGUUUCAACUAACAUUCUCCGCUUCAAUAAACUCUGUUCCCUUGUAUCUUCCACACGCUCUUCUUCAUCCGUCCAUUCAUAACUCAUGCCCCUAACUCUUGGCUCCAUUCUGAGAAUCUAGAUGAAGAUGAAGUUAGGCUAAACUACUUUCAGCACUAGUUGGCGAGAGCCUCGAUCCACAGUAAUAUGGCGAAAACAAAGGAGCAUAUAAAAUCUUAGCAUGCAUCAAACCAAAUUGGUAUCCAUCGUAAAUUCCAGUAGACUCAGAAUCAGCUCUGCUCAUCCUAAUGUUGUAAUAUUUUAUACGUCAAACCCAAUCGUCUUAGAACCGCCGACGUAAACCAUGAAUCCACUAACAAGACCGAACCUAACCUUCCUGACCACAUCUACGAUGCCCUGAGACAAUAUGAGGAAUUCAAGCAACCAUAAUAAUGUUCAACAACUGUCACAUUCUUCAAAUCCAGAAACAACAAACAAAUUCCUGCAGAAAGUGUAUAAUAUCACAAUUCGUUCGAUAAGCAACCAGACAUAGAUUUCCAACUUUACAAGAACCCAACAAUGAAGUGAGCUACCUUUUCUCCAGCAAGAGGAACCAGCUGCAAGGUACCUUUCUCCUUAUCGUAAACGCCCAGUGCGUAACUACAGGGCUGCCAAGCAGCCGCUUCGCCGGCGUAGUUCAACCCAACAAAAUCCACCUGCCCGUGCGUCGACGCCACCAAUUGCGUCUGCUUCGCCUUCAGCUUGUCCACACCUUGGUACACCUUGACGCUCGACAACGCAGCAGCAGCAUCGCCGUGAUCAGCCUCCCCGAGGGGAUCGAACCCCGUGGGGAAGUAGGCUACGAAAGGGCGCGCCCGGCCCUCCUUCGAAGGCACAUAGUCCAUCCUCACAUCCUGCUCCACUACUUUCGACGCCGAUUUCUUCUUCUUCUUGUGGUGGUGGUGGUGUUGGUCAGACGACGUACUGUCCAUAAUAGCUCGUUCUGCAGCUCUUGCUGCUAGGCAAUCUGAGGACACAAUCAAAACAGGCGAUGAUUGAGCACAAUCGAGGCGAGGCAACGAGCGAGCAGGGAGACACAAUCGGGCCCUCGCACUGAAAUGAAGAAGAGGGUUUAGGGCUUUGGCUCGGACUUUCUCUCACACUCUCGUUCGUUGUCGUCGACAAUAUCGUCGCCAUCGUUCUCGUCGCCCUCUUCGUCGACGAACUUCGUUGGGAAAAAGGGGUUAGUGUGGGACAAAGUAAAAAAGCAAAGAUUACCUUGGAUACGAAAGCACUUAUUAUGAAGAAAGAAAAAGCUUGCCUUCUUUGAAAUUGAUUUCACAAAUUUAGCUCAUGAUGCACGAUUUAAUUAAGAAAAAGAAACAUGUACACUUAUUUGUUAAUUUUGUUGAUUUACGUUGUUUUCUUCUUUGUAAACAAUCACGUUAUGCAAUACUUGAAGGUGUUCUUUAAUUUUGAAAAUAUAACCAUGUACGAUAAUUUAUUUUUUCCAUGAGUCAAUUGACAAUUUUUUAAUUAUUUCCAUGAAAACUGCUCACGGAUUGUUUUAUUGUGAUUCUGUUAAUAGUAUCCUAUUUGAAUACAAUUGAAUUGUGAUUAUGCAAUUUUGAUUUGUUUCAGAAAAAUAUAUAUUUAUCUUCAAGUGAAUGUAUUUAUGAUUAUAACCAUUUAAGUAGUUUUAUUAAUUUAGCAUUAACCUUGAACACUAUAAUAAUCAAAACUAGCUUUUCUAUUGAUUUGUUAUAAUGUACAGAGUACCUCAGUGGUUACUGUUAGACCAAGAACUCAAAACAUACAUUAGUUUUAUUUUGUGAUUGGUUUCAAUUUGAAGAAAAAAAAAAAAAAAAAAAAAAAAAAAAAAAAGGUGAAGAAAAAGAAGAAGAAGACGGAAGUAUAAAAUUGAUAAUGUUUUUGUUCUACAACAUGCAUGACUAACAAAAUAAAGUUGGAUAAUAGGUAGAAGCAAUAGAUGAGGAUUCAUUAACUCUACUCAAUUCAUAAUUGAUGCAAGAUUAUGGAAGGAUUCAAUCUUUGAUAAUUAAUUCCAAAUGAUUAUUGUUUGGCUUGUAUGUUCUGUAUAAAAGUUGUAUGGAAUUUUGAAUACUUGAUCAAAGUUGGAGUUUUCACAAUUUUUUAUUUUUAUUUUUUUGGUGUAGUUCUCAUGUAAUUUUUUUUUGUGGGCCUAUUGCAAAUUUGUAGGAGACAAAAUUCUUUAUGUCAUAUAAAGAUGAUCAUGUGAGACUUUUGAUUUUUACCAAUUAAAGAACUUAAAAAUCGCAGCCUGUCAACUCCUCCCUCAGGAUAAGACUCGCUUAGUAAUACCUUAAAAAAUAAUAAGUCUUAAAUUAGAGCACACUAAAUUAUACACCUCAACAUUUGUAAAUGAAUAAAAAGUGGUCUUUAUCAUUGAGAAAGGAAUUAUCUAAAAAAUAAAAGAUUGAUUCUCUCAAGAAUAUUAGGGUGUACAUAUUGACAAUACAAAAUUUCAUAAUAUUUUUAAAGCAAAUGUUUUACUCUCGUACACAUUGUAGUUUCUUUUAGUUUUGAAUGCUUACUCAAAUAAAAGAAUCGUGUACUGGUGUGAAUAUUGGGGUUGCAUGUUAUAACUACUCAAGAAACUUUUCCUCCUCACAAAAAUGAGAUGAGUAACACCCAUUUUUGAAAAGCUCACUUUCUACCUAGUCCAGUCUGUGGUUGCUACGGAUCAAGGCAUUAAAAACCUAAAAAUACGAUCCACCUUGGAUAUUGAUUUGCACUUAAAAUGUGCAUAAAGAACAAGGUAUUCCUCUGCAUAUGCUAAAAGUUGUAUGAUUUCCAGAUUGGUCAAAGUUAUCGUUGUCUAACUUAGUAACACAUAUGCUUCCUUGGAUUCAACGUAAUUUUCUGAAAUGAAGUAUAUAAAUUCACGCUUAACACAAACGGAUUUCAACUCCCAUAUAAUGCCGCAAAAAUGUACAUAUGAAUGUCCAACAGUUAGGACUGCAGCCAAAAACGUCAAGAAAAAUAAAUAAAUAAAUAAAAACAGAAACUACAACCAGUGUAAUGAUCUGACAAUAAUUUUUGUUUAAAAAUGCAUGAGGAGCGUGCAUGAGUCUUGCGGAUGGUGCAUGAUCUGGUGCCCGACAUGUGGAGAAGACUGCGUAUUAAUUUCAUAUAAAGAAGGAUUCAUGGCGUAGCAAGUAGGGAAUCCUUCAAGACCAAACAAAUUGUGGACCUGAAGAAGGUUCCAAAGGAAUGCCGAAUCCUAACGACUGAUGGCUUACACGACUCCACCGCAGUUGGACCUCAAAACACCUGGUGUGUAGUUAAUGAGGCUGCUGGGUCUCUAAGCUGCUCCUGCCAAAAUCCUACAUUGUUGUCGUUACGGAAGCCAUCUAAAAAGUAGACGGCUGUAGAUGCUCACAAGAAAACCCUACUACAAGUUCUCAGUCAAGCAAAUUGGGAUGAAGAUCAACUCCUCAGCUGGUUUGAUCCUCUGAAAGGCUUGGAGCUGGGUCCAAUCUCAGACCUUCUGUCUUGAGCACAAGUUGCGCUGCACCGGCCCAGUCGAAUAGCAAUGGCUGUCAUAUCGCUAAAAUCCACCGAAUCCCAAACUGUUUCACACUAAAUUAGAAGUCAGUGAUGUGGCGCUCAUACUGAGCUUGCCGUCUUCUGUCCUCCCCGCAACAUGGCAGCCAUUCUGGCUUGAAGAACACGAUCAACCCUAAUGCGACCAAAGCAAACAAGAAAACUCCGACAGUGGCGCCUACAGCAGCUUUGACUGUUGAUUUGUUGGAAGACUCUGAGCUGGAUGCAGCUGCUGGGGAAGCAGGAGGAAGCACCACACUGGGGGUUGGUGGGGACGGAGGAGAAUCGUCAGUUCCAGGAGGGGGAGGAGCGAUUGAAGGAGGGGGAGACGCAGGAGCAACUGUAGGGGAUAAUUUAGGUGGCAACGCAGGAGUAGGCGAUGGAACGACGGGGACGAACCCACCAGUAGGAGGUAAAACGGCUGGAGCCAGCGAUGGCACAGGUGACACAGACCCAAAUGGCGGAAUGACUGGUGCUGGACCUGCACCCACGGGUGUUGGAGCAGGUGCUGGAGGAGGUAGGGUCUGUCCGGGAGUUCGAGCAGGACCUGGGAGAACUGGAUCAGCAACUGGAGAUGGAGUAGGUGAUGGGAGUACUGGUUGCGGUUCGGGAGUUGGAGAGGGAGGUGAACCCAAGAAAUCCGCAGGGGGUGCUGGAGGCGAAUUAUCGGGUGCUAGUGGAUCAUUCGGUGCAGGUUCUGAUGCAGGAGCCGGUACCGGAGGUCCGAAUUCAAAUUGCUGAAGGCACCGUCGAGAUCCAUGACACGAGGAAUCCGUGUUGGAUAGGCCAAGAGCGGAAGUAGUAGUGGUAUAGGCGAGAAGAACGAAAAUAACAAUGUGGGAGACAUUGACCAGUCUCCUGCUCCUUGUACACCCCACCAUGAUGAACUUCGAGUACCCGGACUACGGCCACAGAACAGAAGGUCUAGAGAAGAGAUGAGCACUAUAUUUUUGGGUGAAUGCUACAAUGUGAGAACAGAUUCACAGGUGGUGCCCAGGAGUUGGGUCAAGAAGGAUUCGUAACUCGGCAGAUUUCAUCAUCCAGCAAAGUAACGUGUUCGGCUGCUUCGCGUGCAUGCCUGCAAACAAAAGUAGAUUUCAGAGAUUAUCACAACGAGAUACAGAUCUGACUUAACCCAGAUCAGUGAUCCACGCUUUCACGUCGAACUCAAGUGUUCAUCCCAGUGCGCCGUUGCAACCAGAUGCGGAACAAUGCAUAGUUCACACGAUGCAAUGCUUCGUCGCACCAGGCAAUCGAUAUAUCCAACAGGAAACCAAUGGCUCCAGAUCUGCAACGAAGCUCCGAAAACUAAUCGUAUCCUGAGUGAAAGUUCGUCCCCCAACUCAACAUACCAACACCUAUAUGCAGAAUCGUUCUGUUAAAAGCCAAAAACAUCCCCCCGUUUCAUCGACCUGUUCAUCAAGCCGCUCAGAGUGGGGAAAAAACACAAGCAAACAACUCUGUCUCCUUGAGUAAUGCACCACCGCAGUUAAAAAGACACAUACAAGAUACAUCUACAAUGCAGCGCAACUUCGAAUCGAAAAACUAAAAAAAAAAAAUACAUAUAAAGACAAGAAAAAGACAAUGCAACAAGAAGAAGAAAAAGAGCACUGGGCAAGAUGAGGAGAAUCACCCAAGUAUAAUAUGGGGUACAAGAACAAUGACGCUCUGGAAAGAAUGAGAGAGAAUCUGUCUCUCUCUUUUUCCACUACACAGCAUACCUUCUCAGCAACAACGCACACACCCAAGAGCACACACACCACCCAACAGUGGUAGUAGUAAUAGUAUCAACAAAGGCACCGAUUAAGAUCCGAGACCUUGGGCGCCCGUGCUACGCCACCUCCAGAGCACAUCAAUGCCACAAGACCGUAAGAACAUUGAGUUAUUGGGGGCACAGAGAUCCAGAACUCGGGGCCGAAGGCGGGCAAACGGGAUCCGGGGGGGGGGGGGGGGAGACCAAGACCGCCCCACAAGGCCCAGAUAGUCGAGGAAAAGGUGCGAAACUACAGCGUAAGGGGAAGCGGGGAUUGAUAGAUUGAUACGCCGGUGCUCUCGCCAUGCCCUGGAUUUCGCAACUAUGCGCGAUGAUGCAUAAUGGCCACGAUCCCAGCAACCCUCGUUGAAUGUCCGCCGAGGCUUCCUGCGGCGGUGGCGCUGAUCGUGAGCGUGUUCGCGUGGUGGUGGUGCCAUGAGUCCAUUCUUUCUUUCUGUGCUUCACAGGGCACGAAACUGUUUUGUGAGUGAGUGAGUCCAUGAAUUCCUCGUUCAUGGGGCUCUUUGUAAUGGACUGUCUGUCUGUCUAUCUGUCAUCCAUGGGAGGUUAAGUUUAGGGCAGAGGAUUCUCUGCUUCUUGCUUUGCAGUCUGCUUGUUGCCAUGAACUUGGGGGCAACAAACAAGAGAUUGUACUCUUUUUUUGUUGAGUUAAUGUUUUUAUAAUUUGCACGAAGAACAUUUACAAGAGAGAUUUUUACCCAAUAGUGAGGAUGCGUUUGGACAAUCACAAAGGCCCUCAUAUUCAAACUCAAUUUGUGGCUCCAUUUAUGAUUUAUCAAUCCACACCAUAUUGGUUGAAGGUAUUGUAUCUUCCUUUAGACUACUCUCACCUUGAAUUUACCUUUCAUUGGACUAAUCUUGUUAUCUUGCUUUCUCAAAUCUUGUGAAUGGUUAUGUUUGUAAGAUUUUGUUUGGCUAUGGUGAUUAAGCCAUUUAGUAAAGUUUUAGGAUUUUUCUUUUUUCUUUUCACACUUGCAUUCUUAGACUCUCUUUUUGUGGUGUAAAAGAUAGCUUGAUUAGGUCAUGUUUAGAUUUUACAUCAUUCCUUAAAAGUGCAUUGCUUGUGCAUUCUUAUUUGAUUUAGAUUGCAUACUUGAUGUUGAUUUUUGACACUCAAUUUGUUGUAUACAAUGAUCUUUAUUUACACAACAACUAUACUAGUCUUAUAUAUUGAACUAAAAUGGAGCUAAUCAUCAAAGUGGUAUGUAUUUUUAUCCAAAUAUAUAUAUAUAUAUAUAUAUACAUUUAGAAAUAAUUCCAUAUUUAUCUUAGAAAAUAUUAAAUAUUACUAGUCUAAAAAAUUAUUUUACUUAAAGAAAAAAGUUAUAUAUAUAUAUAUAUAUAUAUGUGUGUGUGUGUGUGUGUGUGUAUGUGUGUCUGUGUGUAAAUAUAAAAAAUAUCAUUAAACAAGAAAAAUCAUUCUAAUUAAUAUCAAUAGAUUGAUUUAAUCUUGAAACUUCUAAUAUUAUAAUACAUCUAUUGAUGACUUGUAUUAUAACAUGUUAUUUUUGUUGUUGAAAAAUAUAUACAUGUUACAUUAUUGCCUUUGUUUUUGUUACUUGGGCUUUCAAGAUUACAAGCAAGCACAAGACAAUACCUUCUAAAAUCAAACAUAAGAUAUCCAACAAUCAAAAAAAUAAGUUUUCAUUUAUUAACUUACCCAAAAUUCACAUGACCUUCCGCCCAACACUAUUCUACCUCAUAACAUUACUGGAUAGAUCUAACUAUGCAUUAUGCUAAUUCUUGAUUGCUCCAUUGUGUUUCUCUCAAUCUUUAAAUAUUCUUCUAUCUUAUUGUGUCUUUGUUAAUUUUGGUUUCACUAUCAUAACUCUUUAUCUCCUUGUUUAUUGUUUUGCUAAUAUUGUGUUGUCACAUUACUUUGGCAAGUAUCAUCCAUAAGUGCAUACAAUCAUAUUAGGGGGAUAAUAGUUCUCUAUUUAUUAAGCAUAAAAUCUUAUUCUUAAAGGAUAUGAGACAAAUGUAAUAUUUGUUUAUCCAAAUAUUGUCUUUAGAUGAUCAUCUAUACAAUGAUGUUUGUCUACUAGACACUUGAUGCAAGCCCAAAAAAAGUCUUAUUAAACUAGUGUGAUUUUAGUGUAAUACAAUGUAUACUAUAUUUUAAUUAUAAAAAUUUAAAUUUAGGCAAAUACAUUAACUUCAAACAUUUAAUUGUUUUACAUAGUUUUAAGCAAAUAGCUAGCUAGCUAGAUAGAUUAUUUUAUUUUUAUUGUUGUGAAUAUAUAUAUAUAUAUAUAUAUAUAUAUAUAUAUUUAAAUCAAGUAAAAAUGCUGCAUGAAAGUUUAACUAAUUAACUUUUGAAUACUUUAAUCUAUGUUAUAGCUUUUGUUUUAGAAUUUAGAUAACAUAUUUAAUUAUACCAUAUAUUUAUAUAUUAUUUUUGCUUAAAUACUUAAUUUAAUUCCUAAAAUUUUAAAUGAUAUUUUUCAAAAAUUAGGCAAAACUUUGGUCCUUCAAUUUACUCUUUAAUCUGUUGGAAGUUCAUAAAUCUGGUGUAUAUGUUCAACAAGUAGUUUAGAAUUAUCUUUAUUGGUGAUGUUCUAACUAGUUAAGAGGAACAGAAAUUACAAUUUUAAAAAAUUUAAAUAAAUUUUAAAAGAGAAAUUUUAGGAUAAAUGGUUGACAUUUUCUCAAGUAUGCUUAUAUGUAAAUCACAAAUACAUCUUAUCAUUUUAUAUAGAAUCAUCAAGAUUAAAAUUAUCUCUUUUAGAUUGUCAUUGUUUCUAUCAGACCUGACAUUCAAAUUAAUCGUUUUUAUUUCAUUAUUAAUUAACUUAUAAUUAAGAACACAAUGUAAUUUAUACAUGAGGGUAUAAAGUAUGCCUAAUACAUUUACAUUUUAUUUUUUAAAAUAUGGUGCAUUAUAUAUAUAUAUAUAUAUAUAUAUAUAAGAGAUUUUUAAUUAUAAAAAUAUUCAUUGUUCAAAUGCAUACAUGAUUUUAUGUAGUGUAAAGACACAUAUAACCAUGUGUGUUUUUAAUGAACAAAACACGAUCAUACUCUUUACAUUUUUGUUACAAUUUAAUUGUACAAUCUAGACAUCCAUUAAAAUUCAACAAAAGUUCAAAAUUCAAUCCAUUUUAAUCCAAGAGUGUUUUUAUUGUUGUGUGAUCUUGAACCAUAAGCUGCCAGUUAAAUGUUACCUGUAGUACAAGAUGACAUCAAAUAAUAUUGAAGAAGUACCUCUUGUUGUAUUGAAAAGUAAAAAUAAGACUAAUUUAAUUUAACAUUCCUUUUGGAAUACUGCUGCAGGUUUCGACAUGUCAUGUACCACAACAAAUGAAAAAAGACAAAAAGAAAAAACACUACUACAAUGCACACAAUACUAAUUACAGUUCUUUGCAUUGCACAAUGUGCACAAAAUUGUAGAAAACUACUUGUAGGAUGUAAAAUUGCAAUGCAAUUGAACAGGUCAUUCCAUUCAUAAUCUUUCGGCACUACAUUUACCUCUUCUAUAGUAACUGUUGAUUUUAACACUUUAACAGUAUCUUCUACCGCACUGCAUCCAUGACUCAAAUAAGAUUACUUUUAAUAAGACCAAUUUAUUAUUAUUUGAGCAUCAUGAUUCCUUCUUCUACCAUAUACAUGGAAAUGUUUUUAAAGAAGCUAAGAUGAUGAAAAAACACACACACACACAUAUAUAUAACAAAACAACAACAACAACAAGAGAGAAAGAGGAGGAAAACAAGAUGGAUCAAAGAUGGCAAUUAAAGGUUAUAUUAUUAGGGGUUUUGUUUUAUAACGUCAAAGAUCAAAGAAAUAAAAAAUUAAAAAAUAUACGUGCAAUGUGCACAACAAUCAAAAUUCAAGAUCAUGGCCUUGUUCACCACCAUAUAAAACCCACAUUUUAUUUUUUUUAUUUUUUUAUUUUUUAUUUUGUAAAACAAUCACUUUUCCAACUUCUAAAACCCUUUUUGUAAAGAGAAAAAUAAGAAAAAUAAUGAAAAAAUAAAUAAAAAAUAAUUAAAAAACUUCACACACGUGGACUCCAUCGAGCCCUCGUGGCAGCAAAUCCCCACGUCGUGAAAUGAGAUGGGUCGGCGAGGGGGUCCGUUAUCCACCCAUGGACGGACGUUGUUGGUCCUCGUCAACUUCUGUCGCUUACAUGGGAUCGUCGUCGUCGUCGUCGUCGUCCUCAUCAUCGACGUCGUCGUUGUCGUCGGCUUGCUUCUUCACCACCGCGAGGCACACUCGGUGUUUGCAAGGGGAGCUCGCAAUUGAGCAGAGGAGGAUAUUUGUGGCGCUCUGCAUUGCAAGCUAUGGCGACUCUGCAAGCUUCAACCUCGAUUUCGACUCUGUUUUGUGGGCCUCGGACGUCGGUGUCGCGAUUGGCAGCGCCGGGGACGACGUCGAGAUUACCUGUAACUCGUCGCUCGAAGCAGGUGAAAUUGGCUCCACUAACCCUAGCUCCAUCAACCCCCGAGGUUCUGGUUCGUGGCUUAGUUGAUUCACAGGCGGAUAUAUUGCCACGGAUGGAGGAAUUGGCCACUUGUAAAUAUAAUGAGGAUGAGAUUAAUGAGCGAGUGAGUAGCUUGGAUUGUGUUUCGGUUAGUGAGUUCUUAGGGUCCGCUAAUGGCACCCUGGAGAGAUUUGUGAGGGAAAAUGCUCGGGAGUUAGCUAUAGGUAGUCUCGCGCUUGCUCUGUUUUGUCUUCCUGACGAGCGUGCGCUGGCAUUGGGGCCCGAAGGACCACUGUUGGAGGAGUUUUGGGAUAAUGUUCGGCGGUAUGGUUUUUACUUCUUCACUGUGGUGUCCGGAGGAUUGUACAGCUUGACGAAGCCGCUGUUGGAUCUUUUGAAAGACCCGUCGACGCAAAUCUUGGUUGCUAUAGCGGUAUUCGGCACUCUGUAUCUCGUGUACCUGACUGUUAGUACGAUGCUUGGCUUAAAUGAUUUCUCUUAUGAGUAUGCUCAAUAAAUGAAGAAAUGGCUUUGUCCUUACUCUUUUGAUUGGCAUACUCGCUCUAUUUGCACCUGUCGUGUGUGCUUCGUUGCAUAAUUUUGUUUGUCACUCUUCGUAGCGUUUGGCGGUGUGUUGCGACGGUCUUUAAUUGCAGUUGUAUUCAGUAUCUCUCAUGGGUUUAUCCAAUGGUGCCAGCAUUUAUUCCUUUUUCAAUUGGGAUUCUCUCUCUUCCAUUCCACCCGUCUGCUUGGAUUAAGCUAUGUCAAUCUUGCUGAACGGAAGUAAUUUCGAAGUUCUCCAGUAAUUGCCCAUGAAACUUUAAAGAGUGGAACUAUCAUAACGUGCAAUUUUCUGCGUCCUGGAAAAAAAAAAAAAAAAAAAAAAAAAAAAAAGUUGACAGUUUUCAUUGCUGAAUAAAAGUCUUGUAUGUCUUACGUACUGCAUGCCUUUGUAAUUUUCAGGGUUUAGGCUAUAGGUAAUCAAGUCCUUGCAGGCCCUAGCACAGUUGCAGUGAUUUCAAUAUCAGGGCUUUGUGGAUUGCCUUUUAAAUUGCUGUCGUGUGGCGUUCUUUGAGGUCGUGCAGUCAUCCUGUUGUAGAAUUUUUACCCGUGCCUGAAAAACGUGCGAAGCGAAGAUGACCAUGUUCUUGCCAGUUGAAUGAUUUUAAAAUUGGUGUAUGUGAUGAUGAUUACCCACCAGACUUGUGAAUGGCUGCCGGUGUAGCCAGCCAAAUUGGUCAGGCAUCUCAGAAUCAGCUCUAAGUCAAUUCAUUGCUGACCAUUCCAUUGGAGUGUGGCGUAAACCUAAAAUUCACGACACCAGUGAGCUUGCGAACAGUUCUGUAAUUUUUGCAUUUUUUUUUUUUUUUUUUUUUUUUGAGGUAGUCGUUCAACCUAAUCUUUCAGCUGUCAAUGCUGAUGUGCUAGCGAAUAAUGCUGGGCAGUCCAGAAGGAAUAAGUGAGUUCAAGUCAACUAAUUUUCUUUUUGAACAACACUUCACUGGACUCAAUUCGCUGUCUUUCAACAAGUCGUACACAAGAACAAGUGUCCCCGAAGCACCACUAUCUUUACACCUGGUGUGGAUUGAGUGGCCCCAUGUAAAGAUAAUUGCGAUGCCAGAAUCUUGAAGCAUGGGGAUUCCUUCUGGUUUGCUCAAUUUUGUUGCUCCGGCUCCCGAUCUUUGCAAGUUAUGCAGCCUAGUGUAAAAAGCAUGUUGAGAAGACAGCUGGCAAGCAACUGGAAAUGCGACAAGCGUGAGUCAUGUAGUAUGCGAUUCCAACACUCCAAUCAAUGUAUAGACUGGUGUGCACUAAUAAAUGUAAAGCUUCUGCUUCCAAAUGAUGUUAUCCCAAUCCAGAGAAGAAAUUACUCCAACUUGGCCGAUUUAGAGUCAUGCUUAUCGCCGCAGAAUACGAGAGGCGCACACCGCAUCGACAGAAAUUACGAAUUUAAUGUGGUCCUGGUAAGAAUUAGUUGCUGAGUCGUGCCCGAGAGAGUAGGCCGAAUUCAAUGCAACCGUAUCUGCCGCUGUGCUUAACGGGAGGUCGUCUUCUCCCCGCCCUAAUUCUACCCUGAUAAAUUUGAGUUCGGUGUUUUCCGAGUUACCGUUCACUAUAGGCUCCGUUUUCAUGUGACACCAAGUGUUAUUCUCUGACGGUGUUCUUACCAGACACUACGUCAGACUUUUGUUGCCUUGCAGAACCAGAGGUGGGUUUCGACUUUGAAGCUUGUGUGAGCUUAGUUCAUAGUUUCGGUGUUUCCAAUCGGUUUGGAGUGUUCGGGCUUGUGGGAGUCACUCUGGAUUCUUUUGUCGGGGUGAGUUAUCUCGCCGGAUUUCUUGUGGUGGGAAGGAUUCAGAGGGCAGCUGGUGUUCGAGGUGGAAAGGUCCUGCAAUUGCUGGAACUGUGGAUUCUGGGCUGGUGGCGGGAAUUUCUCGUGGCUUUUCUCGUAGUUUUGGUGGAUUAAGCGCCGUGACUGUUGUUUCUUCGACUUUUGGACCGAUUGUCUCCAGAGUGUGUGGCGAACGAUACAUACUUGUCUCUUUUCUUGGUUCUUUAAUUGCCGUGAGUUGAAUUUAGCUGCCGAUGUACGUUGGUGAUGACAAGGUAGAACUGCGGUGAAUUAUAUUCAUAACUUCAGAGCUGUCAGCGAUUUGGAAUCUUCGCGAAUAGAUUAGCAAAAUGCACAUCUUCGGACGCAUCUUACGCUUUUCAUGUGCUAGUAAUUGAUUGUUGAGCUGCAGCGGAUCUUUUCCGAGUGAUUGUACCUUGAGCGCUAAUUGCUGUUUCUUGCCCCUGUCUUCGAGAAGAGCUUUCUUGACACAUUGAAAGUUUAAAGGAUAGUCACCAUGCUCUUUGAAUUAAUAUGAAGGUUUUAGGCAUUGAUCUUUCUCCAAUCCUGUCUUGACCUAUCCUAGGGAUUAGGGGAGCAAAUAUUUUUCCCUUGGUUUGCGGUCUUAAGAGGAUGCGAUUCUACUACUGCAUUCAUGUCACAGGAUCCUUUCGCUUUCUGAUUGUGGGUUAUGGACGAAACGAACGCGAUUAAGUGCAUCAACCGUUAUUAUUCGUUCUUUAGAACUCGAAAGAUUUGAGAAUUUUCAUUGAACAUUUCUUUUCUCGUUGAAUGUGAGCUUUAAAGCAUUGAUUCGAGUUGUGGGUAGAGGCGAAUGAGUGCAAUUUGAUAAAUGCGUUGGACACCGACCAAUCCUUCGGUAUAUUGAACCUUCAGUCGAACUUGACCUUUUGAAGUGAACUGCUUUACAUUCCUCACUGCCUUAUUCAAUUCUUGUAUGUCUUGACACUCUCCAGUUGCAUUUUGCAAGAUAUGUUUGCUUGUAGCUCAGCUGGAGUGUGCCUUAAUAUAUGUGAAGAGGUUAUUCAACAGCUGGUUGUGUAUUCUGUGGUACAGGUACAGAUGACCGGCAAAGAAUUGGCGUAAAUAACAGCUAUUAUAACCUCGUGUCGAUAUUGUUUUACGGUUGCCGGCGAACUCAACAGUUUGGUUUCUAUAUUUGAUUUUGAAGCAUCGAAUCAGAGGGUGGGUGGAGGACCGAAUUUGGCACAACUUGGAGAAUCGUAGGGUGAUUAGAGUUUGAUUGUGGUGGAUAACUUAUUUAGGAUUCGCUGAUGGUAAUAUGUGAAGCAGUUGAAAGAACUGGUCGUUCUGCUGAAGGGCGGAUGGGAGGGCGCAGUUUGCAGCGGCGUGAACUCACACCCUCGUCUUUUAGGAAGAAGUUAACCCAAGAAGUCCAGCGCAAGUUGCAGAAGGUACUGGGGAAAGCAUAAAUGCUACUGAGUGGAGAAGAAAAUAUCUUUUAGAAAGAUUUAUGUUCCAAUCAAGCAGAGUUAUUUUCACAACACGUAGUUUUACAUUUUUGACUAUGGACACCAAAUUUAAACUAUUUUCAUAUUUCUCCAAUUUUAUGACUAUACGUCGAUUGCAGGCACUUGAUUAUCCCGCUCAAAGAGGAGAAUUAUUGCGGCAACUUUUUACUGACGUUGCCUUAGAAGUGGACAAGCGUGCUCUAGGUAAGAAAAAGCUUCCGUUUUAAAGUUCACAACUAAUUCAUCUGAUCACGAUUAGCCAUAACAUUCUUGUAAUGGUCAGGUGAUCUUGUUGUGCGAAUAGGUUACAUCGUGGAAUAUUGUUUAUGUAGUAUAAGUUUGGCGUUUGCACUCUAGCUUCAGAGUAUAUUUCAUCUCAGUGUGAAGGCUGGCUAUGGAUUUGCAAUUCAUUACCAACCUGAGGUGUAAUGGGAAUGUCGUUUUCGCAGAGAGACUUUAUGGUUCUUCACAAGCUGCCGACGGUGUUGAGAAUGGUGGUUCUGUGAAUGCAAACGGCACAUACCCACGCCCAUGCUUCUAUGAAAUUUUCGCACAACACUAUACCCAAGUUCCGGAGGAUGGAAAGGAAAUCCUUCCUCUGUUUCUACAAUUAUGGAGUCAAUCAUUUGUUUCUCAAAUAUUUGCGCUGCUCUUCCAUCGCUGGGUAAUUUAUUCUAUGAAACCAAUUUAAUUUUGUAGUCAGGUUUCAUCUUUGGUCUUAGUUGAAUCGUACACACACACACACACACACACACACACACACAUAUAUAUAUAUAUAUAUAUAUACAACUCAUUUUGAGGCUCAUUUAAUUAUUUGAACCAGCUUGAACGACAGAAUCUACUUCUGACAGAAUCUUACUGGAUUUGACAGUUGUUUGAGAUUCCCAGAGAAGAGUCAGAGGGGUUUUUGCGAUACUCAACAGCGUUUGUAGAGGGCGCAAGCAAUAUAUUUUGGAUUGAUUUGCAAAGUAAUGUGCGGCGAUUUUACUCCAUGUUUAAUGUAAGGUGUUUUUGCUUUUCUUUGUCUGACUUAAUUUCAUUCUAUUGUCUUUGGCCUCUCAUUCCUCAUUGUUAAGCUCCUUGCAGAACUUCGGAUAUAUAGCUAUGCUCGUUUUGUAACUGGAUUGUUUUGUGCAUUUCAUAUGCUGUAAUGUGCUCCAGAAAAUCUUCGUUCUCUGUAUGAGUUCUGAUGAGUCAAUGUGUUGGUCUUAUUCUAUAUCCUCAUCUUGACUGGUGUUCUGAUUGUAGUAUACAUUUGAGGAGGUUGUCUUAGACUCUGAGCGUCUCACAAGGGUUCCCAUUCAGGUGCAGCUUUCUAACUUUUCGGGUUAUUAUGGCGUACUCCGGUCCUAGCUAGCAUGAUUGGUUUUCUGGAUUGUUUUAAGUCAGCGCCCAAGUUCUGCUGUGUAGUUCUCAGACUUCUGUAGAAAUAGGAUUAUAGAUUCUCGAUCGCUGAUGUAGUGCAAUUAUUUUUCUAUUGUUGAAUGGGCAGGCUCGACAAGAUCUUCUUUUAUUGGUUUCUCGGUACCUGUUAUACUAUGAACCAGGUACUAGUGACUUAUUUGAAUCUAAUGUAUACUGGAUGUACCUGUACUAUGCUUUCUGAAGGUUUUGCUACGUCUCUCAAAGGCAAAGGAAGAAGUCAGUGUAUGUCAAAACGUCAGUUGCAAUCAUUGUUUUAGAUAACAGACCAAGAAAGUUUCUCUUUUGAGACUUGUGUAGCCGACAGAUUGGGGUACUAUUUGAAGAAUGUACCGAAGUCAUCCAACGUUGUCCUUGAACCAGCUGAUAUGUUUGUCACGGAGCUUACAGAUCAGGUGCAUGUCUUCUUUAAAUUCUUUUUUAAUGCUUGCAGAUGAUAUAUCUGUUUGGAGUGUUUUCUUUUCUAACACAAGAUAUUUCAUGAUUAUUUAUUUAUUUAUUUAUAUUGAGUUUAUAUUCUGAUCUGUUUCCAGCAUUUUUCUUUGUUUGAUGAGACUUUCAGUUACAGAAGGUCAAGGUGGAGCCUGUGCUUCUACAUUAUUUGUCAAGCAUGAAGGCACUGAAAGGUGAUGAGAUAAUUCUUUAUUAAUCUUUUUCUUGCACGUACAGACGGAUCUCACGUCAGAAAGUCUUGUUGGAUCAUUUUGUGAUUGUAUCAACUCACACCAAAAUACCUGAUAGUGAAUGUGUCAUGAUAUUGUUUGAAGGUGUGGAGUUGCGGGCAACCACGAGUACACGGUUAAAAACUGCUUUGUACUCCUUCACAGCUCCUGGAGGACCCAUGUACCCAACUCGGCCAGUCCGACAUGCUGCUUGGGAAACCUUGGAUGUCCUCUUUCCAGUGAGUUCGUAUAUCCUAGAGUUCUAAUUGGACAAAUCGUAUUAAUAACAUGAGACUUUGGAAAGAAUCACAAGGGCUACUAAUCGUCGCAUUCACCAUUUGCUGCACUGAGAAAUUGCAUUUGCACGACCUGAAAUUGAUGGUUCAAUAAUUUACUUAUUUUGGUAUCGUAGAUUGGACGGCAUUCAAGACACCUUAUCAGCCUUUUUUUCCGAUUACUGCACCCAUACUACUGGCCAGUGUCAGCCUGGAACUUCACAAUUACAACAAUCAAGGCCUUGUAUGCGAAGAUCCUAAACACGGUGUUUGAGAUCUUCGCAAUUAUACUGAUGGGUUUUGAGAGGAUACUGGGUGUCCGCCGCGUGGUGCAUGAUUAACAUGUUUACAUAUUCUAUAUAUUUGUUGAUCUUUAAGUAUAAUCUGCAAGUAUGAUUUGCAGGGGCUAUAGUCCUUGAAUUGCAAACUUAGGCGUGUUGAGUUUUUUCGAAAUGCUCUUGAAUGAGUCCUUUUAGAGCAUCCAUUUUUGUGAAUUUAUUGAGCAAUUGUUGUUAAUUAAAUUAGCAAAUUGUUGUUAAACAAAUUAGACGUUGAUGAAAGAUUUUAACGUGAAACACAUCAAAAGGAUUCAAACCUGGUCAUUGAACCACUUCAAUUGGAUUAUUUAUAGCAUCCAAUUUUUCCCAUGAAACGAAGUAACUAAUUGAUUUUUCAGUACUGCUACUUCACUACACUUACGACAGGAUUUGGCGCAUUUGUUUGUAAACCAAUGUUACAUACACAACGUUUGGAACCAUUGCAACAGUGUCGUUUUCUUUAAUUCUUCUUUAUUUUAUGCGUGUUUCUACAACGGGUGUAAGUAUUAUGAUUCCAAUGAGUACGUUCAAACAAUUAAUUGUAGGGGUAGGAGACGACCGGUUCAUAGUGAUAAAUAUAAUUUUACUUCCAAAGCCAGUUCGCAAAAUGUCACAUGAUGUGACAGAUUUAUAUUCUCUUUCAAUAGGUCAUGACGAUAUGCCGCCAAACAUUACUAAAGGCCAGGUUCAGAUUCAGAGCAGUUGUUGUUCAUUGCAAGACGCAGGUGUAAAUUACUACGGCAUCCCUUGUCCAAUGGACCGACACUCAUAAGGUUGGUUUGCCCAGUGUUGUUCAUUAUGUACUUAUCUAGUGAAUAAAUUAAAAUUCAAAAAAUGUUUGCAAACCAGACUGAAAGAGAAAUUGUAAGCUGAAGUCAUGGCAUAGCUAAAAUGCCGUAUAUGACAAGCCAAGCUAUUGGACAUAACAAGUAACCAUCAAGUAGUAAGGGAAGCUGGCAAUUAACUGUGUUUGAGAGAUGACUAAGUUUAAUAACUUAAACAAGUACAAAAAUAUGUGGAGUUUUCUAUAAAGGAUGACGUACCAUCAAUGUUCAUCAAAUAGAGACAACCAUAUCAUGCAGUGAAAAUGAAACGAAGUAUUCAAAGGAAAGUGAACCGAGAAAAUAUGACUUCCAGUAGUGAAUGAAGAACAUCAUCCAGUCUUUCCAGAAAAAGUUUCAGGAACAGAACGAGAUUCUCUCAUCUCAAACUGCAGAAAAUCUUGAAAAUUUUCUCAGAACCUAAGCUUGGAGAAAAACCACCUGUUCUUGCCAGUCUUGAACCUCUCUUCCAAAACAGCUUUGGCCGCCUGUUGAUAUCAAUCGCGAAUCUCUUCGUAUCAGAUUACCAAAACUCUAUUUAUGAUAUAUAACACAUGAAUUCAAUUUACCCAUUUCUGAACGAAACAACAGCGACUAGUUCUAACUGCAUUUCUACACAUCAUAACAAAUACCCAACAACAAGAUCAGUAAUCGAUAUUAAUACAAGUUCUCAGCGGCUGUAAAACUGAGGACUACUAACUAAUGGUUGAGACCCCGAAACGUUAGCAAGUGAUACCUUUCUGGAUUCUACACGACUAGCUGUAGACUCCAACUUGUCGGCAGUUACGGUGUUCUUCAAAUCCACGUCCAAGGAAUACCUGCCACAAUUCACAUUUGUAAGUCCCGUCAAAUAUUGCUACUUUAAGUCCAAACGCGCUAGACGUAAUCGAAGUCCCCUAUAUAUGUCAUAUUAUCGACAAACACCAAGCAGGAAGAUUCUGACCAUAUGCCUCCUGAUAUAAGAGAAAACGUAAGAAGUACGACUGAAUGCUUGCCCUACUGCCGAGUUGUACCUUUUAAGGGACAGGAAUCACAAUUCUUUGCAUGAGCACAAGAGAUUAUAAUCGAAGAAUGUAUGAAAUGCUACUAUCGGAUUGCGCCCAGCAAUACGGAUGUUGCCAGCGAAACUUCCAGGAUUCUUUUGGCCUCCCAUGAAUCAAACGAACAAAUAACGUGAGGCUGGGAUUUAACAGAGGCGCAACUGUGAAGUAGACUGCAGUGAUUUCGAAUGCUGCAUCGACUACCAGUUCUAACACCGUAUCAAGUCUUACACGACCCCCUGAGCGAGAUUAAGUGAACGAACAAUGUGAGUACCUGGUGGGCAUUAUGUGGUUGUAGUUGACCACUUUAGUAAAAGCUUUGAGUCUUGAGCGCUUGGCAAUGGUCUUCUGUGAAGCCUUCUUGAUAACCUGCAUGCGUGAAUAGAAGAGAGACUUAGAAGAAAGCACGAGUUCGUGCACCUUAACUCCCCUAGCCCAAUCAUCCUUUAAAUACUACGGGUGCGGAGUUUGUUCCAGAGCAGCACAAGCUCCGUGAGGAAACACCGAAAAAAAUUAAUAAAUAAAUAUGUAAAUAAACAAAAAAAUCACAAGAGUGAAAUGCUUCGUUACAAACCGCCUAUUUAAGCCAAAGCUAAAAUCAAACUUAAGACCCUACAGCUUCACAUGCAAUGCAUUCUACUCUAAGCGCCUACACCCAGGAUGUAAAACCCUCGGAAUCUGCUGUAAACAAACUUUACAGAAAAAAUAAACUAAUAUCCACACAAAUUUCUGAAGAGGCGAUACAAACCUUCUCGUCCAGAACUCUCCCCUAACUAACCCGGAAAAACAUGUAAAGCUAAACCAAAAUAACAAAUCGACUACUGUUCCCAGUAACAAACGAUACUUGAAACUAAGCAUCCCAUCAGGCUAACUCACAACAUAACCCUUCAAAGGCACGUAGACCUAAAAAUCAGAAGCUGUUAUAAAAAGCCUGGCGAUGCGGGUAACAAACGGGGGGCGCGAAAUUACAAACCUUGCGAGGGUACUUGGCGAUGCCGCAGACGAUAGCGUGGCCGUAAGGACGCUCCUUGGUGCCAUCGUCGAAGUUCUUCACGAUGACAGCCUUGCGGCCGGCAUAGCGGCCUUGCAAGAGCACGACCACUUUGUUGGGCUUCAGGAACUUCACCAUCGUGUCGCCGCGCGGUUGACGAGAGGCCUGCAGACCUACGGAGAAUGCAGAGAUGGGGAAAGGAAAGACUCUGCGCUGCGCUUCGCAUAUCUACAACCCCCCUGCCGCAAACCCCCUUUGCCCUAAUUUCCUUUUGCGCCUUCGUUCCGUGUGAACGCGACAAUGUUGAUACCAGGAUGAAACCCGGGAGUUGCUCGCGGGUAUGUGCUUGUGAAUCUGACUUUCACAUUGUUGGUGUUUGUGUAUCUGGACAGUUGCAAAUAUUUGCACACAUUACAAAUCAAAAUGUAUUUUUAGUACAAAUCUAUAACAAUAUAAUUAUAUUGCGUUUUGAAUUAUCACCAAAGUUAUCUUGAUUUCUAAAAUAGAGUCAUGCAUGAAUAAAUCAUUUUCAACAAGUAGAAUUUCAUUUUUUUAUUUUUAUUUUAAUGGUAGUGCUUUUGUGUUUGAAAGAAUCAUGAGCCUAAGGAUCGUUUUUGGUUUCUUAUUUUCGUAGUGAACAAGAAGAGUUAUGUUGGGUCUUAUUGAAUUUGAUCUAAAAAUGCAGUAAUUACUACAAAGUUCUUCAAAAAAUGUUCUCAAUUUUGGAGAGGUUUUAAUUUUAUGUUAUUAAUAAAUCUUAAUGAGAAUUUGAAAUAUGAAAUAAAAAAUAAAAAAAUAAAAUAAAAAAUAAAAUUUAAGAUAUAAAAAUUUGAAAAUGGUGUUUUUAAAUCUAUGGAUUAUACAUUAAUUAAUUGCAAAUAAAUAAAACAGAGAAAAAAAACUAAUUGAAAGAAAUAUUUAGGAAUGGAUUUUCAUUCUUUUAAAAAAUUAAACUUUUAUAGUUGAAAAAAUAUAGAGUUGAAACAUUAAUUACACUUUACAAAAUAACAACAACAACAAUGAUAAUAACAAAUCUACUCAACUACUCUAUAUAUAAUCAACAAGUUUUUUGGUCUCAAGAGCUUGACCAAAACAAGGGCUGAUUGUAUGUGUAUAUAUAUUAUAUUAAAAAAAAUUUAGAAAUAAGAGGGUUUUUUUUUUUUUUUUUUUUUUUUUUUAUAAAUAUUUUUGCAAAAACAAUUUUUAUCACUUAUGUAGCACAAUGUAAUUCAAAUAGUAAUCCAAAAAGAUUGUUUUGUGUUAAUAAUAUUCAUGUGGUAUCAUUAACCGUAUCACAAUGUUGAAAUUUGGUAUUAAGUAGAAAAAUAUUGCACUUGUGAACCAAUUUUUUGAUAUAAUAUAAUACAAAAUGAAAAAAAGUUGAUAAAGUAUAUAAUUUUUGAAACUUGAUUUGAGCUAUUGAUUUGAGCUAUAAAAGUUAUGUUUUUUAUCUUUUUUAAUUGAUCACUUUAAUGACAUAAUAUAUACUUCAAAAAAUAUUAAAUAUGUACACUUAAUAUUAGAAUGUAUGGCUAAUUAUGUAAUUCAAUUUAGAUUAUUGAAAUUAAUAAAAAAGAAUAUUUAAAUUUUACUUUUAAAAUUUUAAAAAAUAAUCCAUAUUCAUAACAAUUAUCUAUAAAUGCAACAACUUUUAUGUUUCACAACCAACACAAAUACAAAAAUAUUGCAACACAUCAAAUAAAAACUAGAAGAUCAUGUUUCAAAUAUAACUUUAUUUUAAAAAAAUUAUUAGAAUGAUAUUAUUUAGAUUUAUAAUGUCUUUAAAUUAGAUAACCAAAAGAUUAAAGGGAUUUUUUUUGUUAGAUACAAAACACCAAUAAUGUAGAAAAUACAGAAAUAUUUUAUUAAACAACUAUAAAAACUACAAAAAAAUGUAUAAGGUUUGAUUUUAAAAACUACAAAGUAUUGGAAUAGAUAUCAAAUUUUAAAAUUUUGUAUUCUAUUGAUUUUCUAUAUCAUUUAAAAAUAAAAUAAUUUAAAUAUAUAUAUAUAUUUUUAUAAAUUUAUAUUUUUAUGUCUAUUUUUUAAAAUAAUAAUUAAAUAUUUAUUAUAUAAUAUUUAUAUGUAUAAAAUAAAUUAAAGAAAAGAUUCAUAUGAAUAAAGUCUUUAAAUAAAGUUAUAAGUUUUUACAAAAAUAAUAAUUAUUAAAUUAAAAAUUUAUGAUUCAAUAAUAAAUGAAUAACUAAUUAUCUAUUUAUUUUUAAUUUUUUUAAAAAUUAAAAAUUAAAAUUAAUAUAUUUUAAUAUUUAUAAUUAUAUUUAUUUAAAAAUACUUAAAAUUUAUUAUAAUAAAAAAUUAAACAUAUUAUUUUUUUAAUAAUAAAUAAUUUUAAUUUUAAAAAAUUUACAAUGUAGUUUUUCAUGUAAUUAAAUUAGAAUACUUUUUAUGGAAUAAUAGUAUAGAUAUAGAAAUAUUAUAUAAUAUCAUAAAUCAUAAUUUUUUUUAUCCAACCUAUUGUUAAAAAUAUAAAUUUCAAAUGACUAAAAGAUCAAUAUACUCUUGUAUCAUUCAAAAAGACUAAAAAAUUAUUUAUAGAUGGUAUAAUAUUAAACUAAAAUGGCUAUUAUCAAAGACAAAAAGACUAAAGUUUUGAAACAAGACUAAAGACUAAAAAGGCAUUGACAAGAAUGAAGAAGACUUCACUCUUAUCUCCAUAUAUAUUAUUUAACUAAGAGCUACAUGAUACCAUUCUAUAGGAUCUUCGAUACAUGUCCAACUUAUAAGACACAUGUCUUAACUUACAAGGCAAAUUUUCUAUAUGUAUGCUAUAAAGUUAGCUUAUACUACAAGCUACCAAUACAUGCUACAUAUGGCUAAUUUUUUGGCUAAGUUUCUAAUCUAUCAAUUAAUUUCAAAUACAUAUAAAGUCAAAGUCACAUCUAAUAAGCUUCUCUAUAAGAUAUUAUUAAAUUUAUUUAUAUUAGUUUACUUCUAUUUAUUCAUAUUAUUUAGAUAAUUAUUGGAGUAAUUAUAUUUUUCCAUGAUAUUAUUCCCUCUUUUGGGGACAAGUUCCACAAGAAGUGAUAAUUACAUAUUGACAAAGUCUAAGAUACAACAAAUUAUAUUUGCUAAAUAUUCUGAUCUUUGUUUCCUUUGAAGGCAGUUGAUAGGUCCUCUUAGCUUUCAAUAAUAUUUCAUUCUAAGGUAGAAAGACAACCUUCUUAUUUGAUUGUUAUUGAGGUCUUCAUAACUUCUUUUAAAUAAAAUAUUUAUAAUACUAUUAAGAAUCAUUUCUACAUCUAAUAAAAUCACCAAAUAUUAAAAAAGACUCCAAAUAGAUAUCAAAUGCAUUGUCAAAAAGAAAGAGUUUGCUUUAGGAAAAUACAAAGUUUUUGGUUACAACUAGAUAUAAUCAAAUACUAUCUUUCAUUUAAAUAAAUUAUAUUACUUCAUACCAUCUUCAAAUAAAACAUAUAAUAAGUUUUUUAAAAAACUACUUUAUAUAUUAUAUAUAUAUAUAUUAAAUCUUAUUCUCAAAAAUACUAUUUAUAUUCUACAAGCAUUCAAAAUUACUACGUAUAGAAUUCAUGGUAGUUGAUCUAAUUUUGGUAUGAAUAAACACUACAAUCUUAUACUAUCUUAGAAUAGAGCACGUCAUAUUUCUUUAGUAAACUACUUAUCUAUGCUAUAUGCAUAUCAAAGCUUAUUCUUUAAAACAUUGUAUAAAAACCUCAUAAGUAACCAAAGUUAUUGUAUAUAGUAGCUCUUAAUAAUACAUGGCAAUUGAUACCUUUUUUCAUUCAAUUAGGCACCAUAGCUUCACAAUUUGUUAGAUUUGAACAUGUAAUGGCUCUUUAAAAACCUACUUAGUUUACAUACACAUACACACACACACACACACACACAUAAAUAUAUAUAUACCAAGUCUCACUUCCUAAAUUUUUUUAUAACAUACUUUAUGAGCAAAGAAAGCCAUAGAUUAUAUUAAUACAAGGUAGCUAACUCUUCUUUAUUCAAAAGGCAAUACAUCUUCAAACUAAUUCUUAUUAAAGAAAAUAAAAUUCUAAAUUUAAAAGAUUUUUAGAAUUCUUAUAAAAAUAAGAAUAUUUUUUUAAAAUUUCAAAUCUAAAUUCUAAACAUAUUAUGAAAAAACCUUAAAAGAGUGACUAGCUACAUCUAAAGGAAGAAAGCUCGAAUGAAGGAGAAGAAAAGAUGGAUCAAAAAGUCAACACAAGCCUAUAUUGCUCUACCUCAGUUCAUAUCUCUUUACUUCGACACCAUAUCACUCCAUCUCAAGCUUAUAUCAACCUAUUUUGACUUAUUUUUAGAAAUAAACUAUCAAUAUCUAUAACUAUCUUUUUAUUUUCUUUAUUUUUACUUUUUUAAUAUAACUUCUUCAUCUAAACUAUCUAAGAAUAAAUUUAUAGAUUCAUAUAAGAAAGGUAAAAAAAAAUAAUAAAAAUUAGGAUUGAAGUUCAAUAAAUUUUAAAGAAAGUAAAAGCCUCAUGUAUAUAACAUCAAAUACCAAGUCAUGAACUUGGUUGGUUGGUUAAAUUCAUACUCUUCAAGCUAGUUUGGAUAUGAUUUUUGUCAAAUUUGUUGAUUGAUACAAGAAAUGUAUAGCUUGGAACUACUAGUGUGAAUAGCAGGUAAGAAAAUAUAAUCAACUGACUUCCUAUUCUUUGAAUUGUGAUAAGAUGCAAUCUAUUCAAAAUUUAAGGUUCUAACUAUAAUCUUUUUUUUCACCACUUCAUUCCUUUGAUCUUUCAUUUUUUUUCCUAUAUUUUAAUUUUAUUUUGGUUUUUUUUAUUUUUUAUUUUUUUAAAAUUCUUUAUAUUAAACUAAAUUUUUAUAAUAUUUUAUAAUAUUUUUACAUAUUAUGCCACUUUUCAACAUAACAACAUUGCAUCUUGCCAUCUAUUUGAAAUGAAACAUGUCUUUUUUUAAAGAUCUUCAUCUCUAUUGCGUUGUCUUGAAUUGUGUGACAAUCAUAAUGUCUUAUUUGAUAAGUUAGCAAAAAAUAGCUUUUCAGUUGAAUUUGUUGGUUGUUAGUUUUUUAUCUUGUUAAUUCUAUAAAUAUAUAAAAAUUAUAAUCAAAUAUAGAAAUUAGAAUAUAAUCUUUCUUGAACUAUAUUUUUUUUAUAACAAAGAUUUGUUAUUUUUCAUCUUAAUUUUAAUAGAUGAUAUUGAUGAAAAGUAUCAAUCUUAUUUUUUGUAUUUGCUAGAUUCUUGAUAAGCUCUCAUGUACAUUUACUAAUAUUAUAUCUAUAUCAAUGAAUAAGAUUUUUCAACCUAUUUUUGCAUUGUUUUAAAUCUUAGAAUUUGUACACCUUGAAUUUUUUAUUAUUUUUUAACUUUUAUAGAAUGAAGUGGCAUUUGUCUUCUUCUCAAGAUAUUUAUUGUUUUAUAUGGCUCAAGAAGAGAUACGUAGAAUAUGAGAUGGAUCUUCAUAGAUUUUUGUGGAUGUAAUCAUUAAGACACUACAUUGAUUUGUUUACAAAUAAGAAAUGGUCCGAGUCUAUAGUAAUUCUAUUUAUCACAAAAGCAACUAGUCUUAAUAUUGUAACAAAGUAACUGUAUAUUAUUGCUAAUAUGGAAUUAAUAUUGCUUCUUUCUAUAGGCAUUUUUAUUGAUCUUUUGUUAUUUUUGAGAUUCUUUUUAUUAUACCAUCAUUGUUGUAUGUAGCUCAAAUAAAUGACUUAUUAAAUCUUCAUUGUAGGAUUAUUAAUUUGUAAAAUAUCAAAAGCAUUAAAUUAAAGAUAAUAAUUAUAUUUGAUAAAAAAGGUAUUUUUUAUAUAGAAAAAUAUAUCAUAUAAUUAGAAGCAAAUUCUAUCAAUAGUAAAAAAAUUAUUUAAUCAUCUUUUUGGUAGUUGAUGGUAUACCUCAAUAUUACUUUAAAACUUAAUAUAUGCACUUUAUUUGUCCAUUAGUUUGAGGAUGAAAAGUCAAAGAUAGUUUUUUUUCCACUUUUAGAAUCUUAACAAGAUUUUUUAAAAAUCUUGAUAUAAAUUGAAUUGUCUUAUUUGAUAUAAUAUCUUAGGAUAAUUUAUAAUAAUAAUAGAUGUUAUUAAUGAAAAGCUUAGUUGUUCUUUCACUUGUGAUAGAUUUUGUAUAUGAUACAAAAUUUAUCAUCUUGAUUAAAUGAUCUAUUAUCACAAAUAUAGAAUCAUAAGAAUAUGAAAUUAGAAGAUCCAUGAUAACAUAGAAACAAAAGACCAUGGUUUUUUUGAAAUAGAAAAUGGCUAAAAAAAUCCAUUAGUUUGAUACAAGGAGUUUUUGACUUUGAACAAUUAUCACAUGAUUGUACAAAAUCUUUAAAUUAUCCUCCAUAUUUGAAGCUAUUAAAAAUCUCCAGAUACUAGCUUCAAAGUCUUAUUGUAUUCAAAAUGUCCAACUCUUGGAAAAUCAUGACAAGUUUGAAGAAUACAUAAUUAUAUUUUAUCUUUUAGAAUAUAUUAUUAUUCUUUAAAGUAAAAUAUAUUAUUUUAAAAUUUAAACUUAGAAAUAUCAUUAAAUUUUUAAAAACUAUUUUUAAUGUUAUGAAUAAGUGGAUCAAAGGACAUACUUGAUUGAACUUGCUUAAAAAAAAUUGAAUCAAUAGUCGUGUUAAUUUCAUCUCUUAAAGUUAAAAAUACUUUAGAUUCAAAAAAAUCAUUCUUUAUUGAUCAAAAGUUGUAUAUUUUUCUUUGGAUGUUAGAUAAAAAUAUCUAGAAAAGACAUCUUAUAAACCUUGUUGUUUUUUGAAUCAAUAAUUAAUUUUGAAAUCAAAUCUUAAUGAAGAUAUACUCCAACAAGCUUGAAAACGAUUCAAAAUAAGUAUUGGUGUGAAAUAUUUGAAGUUUUUAUAAUCUAUAUACAUUGUGAUUAGAUUAGAUGCGCAUUCUAGAUAAUGAAGUUAUUUUUAAAACAAAUACAUGAUUGCAAGAAGCUCUUUAUUGUGGAUCUCAUAGUUGAUUUUGGUUGCUAAAAGGUUUUUAGAAUGAAAAGCUAUGAAGUAGAAUUUAUUUUUUAUUCCCAUUUGUAAGAACACUACAUUCAUAGCAAAAUUUGAUGUAUCUAUUUUUAUAAAGAAUGCCUUGAAAAAAUUGGUGUAAUACAAGAUUAGUGCAAAAAUAAAUACUAUCUUCAAGGCUUAAAAAAUUUACUUCAACUUCUUUGUUCCACUCAAAUUUGUCUUUAAUUGUCAAAUGUAUAAAAAGAACUGCAACUUAAAAAAAGUUUUUGAUAAAGAUGUAGUAAUAAUUGGUAAAUCAAAAAAAAAAUUCUACAUCUUUAAUUAUUUUUGAAAACUUUUAAUCCAUGAUAAUUUGUACCUUCUUAAGAUCUAUCAUAAAACCAUCAUUUGAAAUGAUAUAUACUAAAAAUUUAACUUAAAUAAUGUAAAAUAUACUCUUUUUGAUAUUAACAUAUAGUCUUAUAUCUUUCAAUUUUUGUAACAUAUAACAAAUAUAAUUUUUUACUCUUUUAUAUUCUUAAAGUAGAUUAAAAUAUUGUCUAGAUAAUAGCUGAUAAAAUCAUCAUGAAAUUCAUAAAAGAUAUCAUUCAUUAGAUAUUGAAAAACACCUAGUUCAUUUGUAAGUCCAAAAAGUAUGAUAUUAAAUUUUAAAUUUCUAUAUUUGAUUUAAAAUAUAGAAAAUUUUUAUUUAUUCUUUUAAUAUGUAUUAAGUUAUAUAAUUUUUAUAGAUCUAUUUUUGUAAAGAUCUUUAUUUAAUUGAGUUGAUAAAAAAGUCCUAAAAUCAAAGAUAAAUGAUACUUAUUGAAAUAAGGCUUGUCUAUUUCAAAGGUCUAAGAACAUUCUAAUCCAUAGCAAUAUAAAACCUCAUCACAAAAUAAGAAAAAAUGGACCAAAAUAAAAUUAAAAAAAACUAAAUAGAAUUAGACACAAAAAAUAAAAUUGAGCAAAUAGAAAUAAAAUAGAACAAAAUUAAACAUAAAGAUGCAAAACCAAUUUUUACUAAGAAAAAAGAUUUGAAUCUAUACUUAAUCAAAUACCCCAAAGGCCCUAAUUAGUCCUAUUUAUACUUAGUUCUAUCACCUUAGACUUUCUAGAAUGUUCCUAGAUGAUGGAUCCCACUUAGAUAAUUGUCCUAAAUUCUUUUUAGAAGAUUCUAUGAUGGAUCCUACCUAGAUAACUAUCAAAAGUUCUUUUUAGAAGGUUCCAUGGUAGAUCCUAUCUAAAUAAUUACCUUAAGCUCUUUUUAGAAUGUUCUACAAUGGAUCCUACAUAAUUCACUAACCUAGCUCCAAUUCUAGAAACUUCCAUAACUUUUCAAAUAUGGUUCCAACUAUCUAUCCCUAUAUAUCAACAAUAUAAAUAUCUUAUCUGUAUCCUGUUACAGUUAAUUUUUUUCAACUAAUGCAGAACAUCCUCGUUUUGCUCCUGAUGGUGUGUCCAAAUUAUCUCUUAGCAAUGAGUGAGGUUUUGUUCAGGUUUCCAUAUUGCAUUGUAGAUAGAAUAACCUUUUCAAAGAAUUUUUUACUAAAGUUAUAGACGUUCAUUGCCAUGGCAAAGGUAGUGAUGCUCCAAAAUACUAUGUACUUCACAUUUUUCUUAGUCAUCAACUACAAUUGAUGGUAGUGGUGGUUAAUGUCGAUCCAAAAAAUACUUUGGCUUAAUAUAAAAUUUCUUUAGUUGUAAAACAUGAAAGACUAAAUGGAUUCAAAUAUGUGGCAGAAGCUCAAGGCGGUAUGCAAUAUCAAAAAUCAUUGUAAAAAUGUGAAAAGGUCCUAGCAUAUCAGGUGCUAGUUUAUAGAUUUGAGUUGAUGUAGUAAGUAGUAAAUUGGGAUUGGAGAGUAAUACCUAAUCAUCUUCCUAGAAGGUCUUGUAUUCUUAGUAGUUAUUUGCUGUCAUAUUAUUAAUACUUAUAAUAUGUAAAAAUUGAUUAAAAUAUAUUUUAUAUUUAUAAGUCUUGAUGUAUAUUAAAAUGGUUAAUAAAUUAAAUUAAAAAAAUUAGAUAUAAGAAACUUUAUUUUAAAUUUUAUCUAUUCUUAUUAUAAUAUUUAAAUGAUAUAAGAUUUAAAUAUUUAGUAUAGAGCUUUAAGAGAAGGUGAAAGACUAAAGAUAAAAAUCUAAAUUAUUAGGAGACUUAUAAAGAAGAAUGAAAUGAAGGCACAGUGAGAUCAAGGCAAAAGAUAAAGAUCUUUAUUUCUAUUAAUUGAAGGCUACAAAAUUGUAGAAUAGAUAUUAAUUCGUUUUUGAAAGAUAUUAGUAAAAUAUAUUAAUAGUCCAUAUAAUAGGAAAUUUAGGAGGAUAGAUGAGUGAUUUAAUUCUUAAAAGUGGUUAAUUACAGAAUUACGGUUAAAAUCUGGAGAAUCAGGGGAAAGUACAUAGGAGUUGUAGAAGUUAAUUAGGGUGCCAAACUAUGAUAGUCAUGAGUCGAGGGCCAUCGCUGUGAUAGUGUGAGCUAAGGUAAGCUUGGUGCUACCUCUUUUCUUUUGUUUGUUAUUUUCUUUGAAUAAAAAGAUUGAGAGUUUCUGAAUAUUGUGAAGUGAAUUAUGGAAUAGAAAUGUGAUUGAUAUUAUUUGAGAAGAAGAAAGAUUGAAUGCUGAAAUCUGAUUGUAGUUCAGCAGAGAGAAUGAGUCUAUGUUUGUGUGAAACACCAUAAUGUGAAUGGCAAUUUUGUAUGAAGAAUUCUAGUGAUUGGAAUGAGGGUAAUUGUGUGCUGAAAGCUGUGAGGGCGCAGUAUUACAGUUGGAGAUUAUGAUGGUGAAUAUAUUGGUGGAAAUAGCAGUUAUUGGUAUGACUAAAUUGAUGUAAAGAAGAGAUCGAUAAGGUGAAGGAAGAGAUUAUAGUUUCCUUAUGUGUUCAGAUAUUGAAAAUAGAGAUGAUACAUUUAGGAGGUAAUUGAUUGUGUGAUCCUAACGUGAACGCUUAAGCAACUAGUCAUUCCUCGUAUUCAAAUCCGACUAUACGGAUUUAUUCUCAUUAGAUUAAUUUAGAAUAAGUAAAACGAACAAUCACAAAAAUAUAUUUUAAUCAAUUUUUAGGCCCAAUGGAUAUUUAGCAAGCUGUUUGCAAUCAUAAGAAGGAAUUUGAAAACUUCAAAACAAUAAUUUGAGAAUUAAAAGCAAGGAUUCUAAGGUUUAAGAUUUGAACUACAAUUUUUGUACAAAUUUUAGAGGAUUUGCAUUUAGGAUGAUGAAGUUAUAGCCAUUUAAAAUUGAGGUGUCUUUUUAAAAUAUAUUGUUGCUAUUUUGAAGAUACAAGGAAUUUUAUGAUAGAUUUUGGAGAUCAAAAGAUGCGGACACUAAGGUGAUUUUAAGAUCUAUAUCUUUUGUGAAGGAAUUUUUAUAUUUAAAAUUUGUACAAAGAAGUUAUAGAGUGUUGAAGAUAGAACAUGUAAUUUAUAGGUAGUAAAUGAGUUGUUUUAUUAAUAGUAAUGGUUGGAGCAAUAUCUUGAGUUUUUAGAUGAAUUUUUGGCUAAAAAUUUCCAAACGUAUGUAUUAUUGAGUUAAAAAGCUAUAUUAUAAGAUUUUAUGGUAUUUAAAUACUGAAUUUAUGAAAUAUGAAGAAAUUUGCACAUAAGUAUAUGUAAGUAAGGAUUUGAAGCUAUUUUUAGAAUUUUGAAGAUAUCUCAAGAUUCAUAAUGAAUUUAUGGUUGAAUUUUUUUGUGAUAGUUGUUAAAAAUACAUCAAUGCUUUAUGUAAAAUUUGGAUUUGUUUGGACAGUUGAAUCGUGAGAUAUAAGCUAUCAAAAUUUGAAAAGAAUUUAUCUUAAGGAUAUACAAGUUUUUUAUAAUAUUUUCAUAACAUUUUUGGUGAUCUUUGGUACUUAAGGCUCAUGUACUGAUGUAAUUGCUCCUAUAGAAAUAAAUUUAUAUGUAGACUUAAUAUUUUUUUUAUCUAAAAUCUUGGUUUAGCAUUUAGUAAUAACGAGAAGCCCAUUGCUUUCUUAAGGCAAAUUCUCUCUACCACAAUAUGGCAUAUUGCUUCUAUUGAUUUUAUGUAGUAAAGAGGCAAUGUUGUACUUCUUCUAAGGCUGUUCUAAGUAGUUGUAUAAACUCUUUUGCUCUUAGAUUAUUAAUGUCAAUGGAAAAAUUGAGAGUUGUUAGUGUAAUUGGAUGUUGACUAAUAUUAAAGGAAAAUGGUGAAUAAUUCCAAUGGUAUCAUUGUAAGCAAACUCUAAGAUCAUCAAAUAUUCAUUCCAAUCAUUAUGAUGAAUUAUCACAAAUGCCUACAAUAUAUCUUUUAAGAUUCAAUUUGUAUGCUUUCUUUAUCUAUUUGAUUGGGGAUAAAAAGUUGUAGAUAUGACAAGUCAUGUGCCUAGUAGCUUCAACAAGGCUUAUCAAAAACUUCCAUAAAAGCAUGGAUCUUAAUCUAAAAUGAUGAUACAAAGUAAUCCAUAGUGGUGAAAGAUAGUAUCAAAGAAGACUUACGUAAGUGCUAGGGCAUCAAUAUUUGAACGUAUUAUAGCCAAAUGAAGUUGCUUUGAGAGUUGAUCCACAAAGAUAGCAAUUGUAGUGUGAUUGUAAGGUAACUGCAGUGAAUAUGUAAUAAGAUCUAUAGUCAUCUACUCCCAAUGUGCCGUAGGUAGUGAAAAUGGCUGUAAUAAUCUAAGAGACAUUAUUAUAUUACGUGGCAUUUGACUUGAGAAUGCAUCCAGCACCUGAUUAUAGAAGAUAAAAAAAAUUACAACAACAAGUCUUAACAACUCAAAUAGAUUUUAAAUUAAAUUAUAAUUAAAGAUUAGUAAAUACAAUCAAACAUCAAUCAAAUUCAAUUAAAAUUUCAAAGGAAUUACAUAAGAAAUACAAAGAAUUCUUAGAGAUCCUUUUAAGAAAUCAUAAAGAAAUAACAUAGAAAUUGAUAAACCUAGUUAAAUCUUGGUCAAACCCUAAUCAAACCUUAAUCAAAUCUUAAUCAAAUACUAAAUAGCCCUAAUCAAAUUCUAAAAAUUUUUUAAUCAAACUCCAAACAAAUCUUAACCAAAUCCUAAUCAAAUCCUAAAUAAACCCUAGUCAAAUCCUAAAUAAGUCCUAAUCAAACCUUAGACAAACUCUAGACAAAUCCUAAGUAAAUCCUAAUCAAAUCCUAAAUAAACUCUAUAUAAAUCCUAUUCAAAUCCUAAAUCCUAACCAAACCUUAAAUCAAAUCCAAAAUCGGAAUCCUAAUUCUAACAAAAUCCAAAUCGAUCCCAAGUAAUUCCUAUAAUAGAUUUAAAUCUCAAUAACUAAUGAAUGAAUCAUUGAUUUGAACUCAAAUUUUAUACACCUCUUAAUAAUUAAAUUUAUAAUGAAUAUAAAAAUUUGAAAAAGAUCAGAAUUACCUAAUAGACGAUAACUUCAAAAAUGUGCUCAAGUGUCACUCGACUUCCUUCUCUGACCUUGAUGCCAAUCUUUUAAAACCAAUUACUCCUGAUUGAACUAUUACUUUGCUUCCAAACUUUAUAUAUUUGUUAAAAAUCAAGCAGACUAUCUUUGUGAAAAAAAAUUUACUUCAAUCUAAGUGGCAGAUUUACAGAUAUCUAAGAAAACCUCAUUGGUCCUCAAAAUCCUAAAUUUUGAAACCAUAACCCACAAGAACUUUUAUGCCUUUCAAUCUAAUCAUUUAAUCAAAUCCAAAUUCACAGCACACACGAAGCACAACUAUAUCGACAAACCUAAUUUUUUGUACCUAUAGAUCUAUUGCCAAACUUACAAAAUUCUCCAAAAAAUAUCACCCAUUUUAUUUCACAAAUCUAGAGACAUCCAAAACAAAUCCCAACUUUGCAAAGCUCUUACAAAGUCAAUACACACUCAAAUCUCUCCAAAUAAAUGCUCAAAGAAAUUUCAUCAAAUCAACUAUUAGAUCUUAUUUUUUAAUUUCUAAAAGAACCCUGGAAUCAUCAUCAAGGCUUGGAAUCUAAUUUUGAUCCUAAUUAGUAAGUGGUCCUCUUUGAGUACGAAUUUUUGAAUUUCUAAGGUAAUUUUUGCUAUAUACUACACUUAACUUCUUUUCAAAGGUGCCUAUAUUAUUUAUUUUUCUAAAAUAUCUUAUUUUACUCUAUUUAUGGUCCUAUAAAAUAAAUAGAAGCCUAUUUUGUAAAAAGCAGUAUUAGAAUCUUUAAUUUUUUUUAUUCUUUGAUUAUUACCUAUUUUUCCAAGAUAAUUUGUUAUAAUAUAUUUGAAAUAAGAUCUUCAAAAAUAUGAUAUUUUCUUCAUCAUUUCACUUAUUAGCCAUUUUACAUCACAACAACAUUAUGUUGCAUUCUUUAUUAUAUUGAUAUGAUUCACAUGAAAGCACAAAAGCUCAAAUAUUAAGAUUCAAAUCUAUCUAAAAUUAUGUUUUUGAGAUCCAUUUUAGAGUCUUCUCUUGCCUUAGAUGUCCAAAUAUUAGGAUGUCAUGUCUUUCUUGAAGUAUACACAUUUGGAGUUUAACAUUUUUAGGUAUAUAAAUCUGCUUCUUGAAAUAGAGCAAGCCAUGACUAAGGCUGUAAUCUUGAUAUUACAUAUUUUCCAUCUUCACCCUAUUACUAACCAUCUUGAAAUAAGCAUCCCAAUGCAUAGCUUCCUUCCAUUCUACUUCUUCAGUUAGAUUUGAAAUAAUACUACUAAUAGUAGCAACUUUUGUCUUAUCUCCAAAUUUAGUCUUUAAGUCUAGUCUUCAUAAUAAGCUGUCUAACAUAGCAUAUUGUCACCCUUGCUUACAUUCAAGCUAAAUAUUAAAAAGUUACAAUUGUUCUUUUCAAUGAUGAUGUUGUGAUUUUAUAUUUUCCAAAUACAAAUUUUGUAGCAAGAAUCCAUGAUUAGUCCAAAUAACCACUGGCUUCCUCAAUAGAUAGUAUUGCUAUAUCUUUGUGGCAUAUAUAAUUGAUAAUUAUUUUCAAUCACGUACAGAGUAAUUACACUUUAUCUUUCUAAGCUUCCAUGAUUUAUAUGCUACAGGUUGAAGGCUUCUACCAAAGUCUUAUUAGAAGAGCGUUGUCGUAUUACGUGGCAUUUGACUUGAAAAUGCAUUAGGCACCUAGCUAUAGAAGAUAAAAAGAAAAUUGCAACAAGUCCUAACAACUCUAAUAGAUUCUUAAACAAAUUAUAAUUAAUGAUUAACAAAUAUAAUCAAACAUCAAUAAAAUUCAAUCAAAAUUUCAGAAAAGUUAUAUAAGAAACACAAAGUAUUCCUAAAGAUCUUUUAAAGAAAUCAUAAAGAAAUAACAUAGAAUUCAAAAAUAUACUAAAAUAGAAAUCUUAAUAAAAUAUUAAAAUAUAAAUUUUAAUUAAAUUCUAAUAAAAAUCUAAUCAAGUUCUAAUCAAAUUCUAAUCAAAUCCUAAUCAAAUUCUAAACAAAUCCUAAUUAAAUCCUAAACAAACCUUAAUCAAAUCCUAAUCAAAUCCUAAAUAAAUUCUAAAUAAAUUCUAACCAAAUUUUAAAUAAAAUCUAAACAAAAUCUAAAAGAAUCUUAAAUAAAUCAUAAAAAAAUCCAAACAAAUCUUAAACAAAUCCUAACCAAAUCCUAAAUAAAUCCUAAAUAAAACUCUAAACAAAAUCUAACAAAAUUCUAGUCAAAUCCUAACCGAAUCCUAAAUAAACCUUAGUAAUUCAUACAGCAAAUUUAAACCUCAAUAACUAAUGAAUGAACCAUUGAUUUUAACUCAAAUUUUGCACACCUCUUAACAAUUAAGUUGAAAACAAGUACAAAGUUUUUGAAGAAGAUCAAACUCACCAAAAAGAUUGAUCCUAAUAUUUGCUUCAAUGUUGGCCACCUUCCUUCUCUAAUUUGAAUGUGGAAUUUUCAAUGCCAAUAUCUCCUUAUUGAAUUGUUUAAUUGAUUUCAAAUUUUUUACAUACGUACAAAAAUAAGUCUAUAAUCUACAUACAUAAUUUUUACUCUAAUUCAACUAAUAGAUUGCAAGAAAUCUCAGAAACUCUCACUAGACCUAAAACUCUACUUUUUGAGACCCCAACCCACUUAAACCUCAAUAAUCCUUGAUCUAAGUGUCAUGGACACAGAAUACAGACUUGAUAUCUACCAAGAAGUUUAAGAAGAACUGGCAAGAACUAGAUUAAUCAGAUGAAUACAAGAACAACACCAGAGAGGUGAGCUAGAGCUCUAAGAGAUGUGUUGUCGAGACUGAAGAAUUCUUCAGCCUCGAUUCCAAUAUAUACUCCUAUUUAGGAAGCUUCUCAAGCAACUUCUACCAACUAGGAAGCUUCUAGAAGGUUCUAGAGACUUGCUUCUAGAAGGUUCUAGAAACUUAUCUCUAGAAGGUUCUAAGGACUAUGUCCCUAAUAUCUUCUAUCAACUAAGAAGCUUCUAGAAGAUUCCAGAGACUUGCUUCUAGAAGGUUCUAGAAGCUUGUCUCUAGAAGGUUCUAGAAACUUGUCUCUAGAAGGUUCUAAGGACUAUGUUCCUAACAUCACCCCCUCCUUUAGCUUCGAGGUCUCUGAGAAGCAAUGUUGUUGUCAAUCAGUACCAAUGCAAGAAAAUGAAGAUCUGUCGCAUAACGUCUGCUAUGAACUCUAACUGUUGUUCACGAGGUAAGUGGUUCAUCGACCCUUGAAGCCAACGGUAGUGGCCCACUCCUUCAACUUCUGACCAAGCAUGAACUUCCGUGUCUUUAUUGUGAAAUUGUCCUGCAAAUAAGCCUUCUGGUUGACCAUUAAGCAGGCUCGGACUCAAAUACAAUCAUCAGUGAUCGAUUACUUGGUAUCCUCCGUCGUCGUCAUGGUACAGGUGGUUCUUCAUCUUGGGGUCACCUUCGUGAGUUAGUUGGUUGAGAUAAUCUAACUGGCAUAGUAUCUAUCUCUUGGCUAUCCAUAUCAAAAGACCAAACUAUGGUUGCUGAAAAAAUUCUAUUUUAUCUUGGAGAAAAUAACUACAUCAACUACGAAUUUUAGUGGUGCUCUCCUCCUUUCUUAUAUUCUUGGAUGAGUAAGCUUCAGAAGGAAGCUAUCGUCGAAUCGGCUUAGGUUUAUGAGGAUGUUGUUGAUGAAACUCCUAUACCUUUUGCGGCGCAUUGGCGAGAUUUUCAGCUGGCUCCCACGUUCGCUCAUUAAUGUCGUAGCCGCACCAAUGAACAAGAUACUCCAACUUGCCCCACCUUCGCCGUGAAUCCAGUACCUUUUCAACCUCGUAUUCCUCAUGGUUCUCGAUCUCAAUACUAGGUGGCGAACAUUGCACUCUUCCAAGAAAAGUCGACUCUCGAUAAGGCUCCAACAGAGAAACAUGAAAGACUGGAUGUACCUUCAUAGAAGCCAUUAAUUCCAGACGGUACGCCACUGGAUUGAUUUGCUUCUGGAUGAUAAAUGGUCCCAAUCUUCGAUAGUCCAACUUAUCACAUGGUCGCUUGGUCUUGAUAUUCCGUCGAAGAAGCCAUGCUUUAUCUCCAAUUUUUAAAGUAGGUGCUUGAUUCCGAAAUCUAUCUGCACACGCCUUGUAGGAUUCUUGAGCGGAUUGUAAUUGAAGCUUCAACGUAUUUUGAAGCUCUGAUAGUUGUUUCGUAAAUCCUUCAGCUGCUGGAUUGUUAUUGGUUGAUGGAUUCAAUAAAUCAAGCUUCGGAUGAUACCCAUAGUUGGAAAAGAAUGGUGUGUAUUGAGUCGAUGCAUGGAGGGUGUUGUUAUAUGCAAACUCAGCUAGCGGCAGAUAUGUCGUCCAAUCGUCUUACUGAUAGUUGAUGCUGCAUCGUAAGUAUUGUUCCAAGAUUUGGUUCACCUGUUCCGUUUGGCCGUCAGUUUGAAGAUGAAAAGCUGAAGAAAGCUUGAUAUCCACCUUCAGUAUCUCAAAGAGAGAUUUCCAAAACUUUGAUACAAACUGGGUUCCUCGAUCUGAUAUGAUAUCAUCUGGUAGUCCAUGAUAACGAUACACAUUAUCGAGAAAGAGCCUUGCUGUGACUUCACUGGACGAUGUCUUCUUGCAAGGGACAAAGUGUCACGGACAUACAUAUAAUUACCUAUAUGAAUAGAUAAAAGUAUGUAAAAGUAGGUUAAUUGUAUAAUAUCUUCUAGAAAAGCUUCUUAGAAGCUUCAUAGACGCUGCUUUGACUUUAUAGGAGUCUAUAGUUGACUUUUAGGUUAGAAACUUGGUCAACAAGUUAGCCAUGUGCCACGCAUGUUGGAAGCUUAAAGAACAAGCUAACUACGUGGUCCAUCCAUAGAAAACUUGCCUUGCAAGCAAAGGCAUGUGGCCUAGAAAGUCAACAUAUACUGGAGGUCUUAUAGAACAUCGCCACGUGGCUUCUAGUUAGAUAGUAUAUAUAGAGGCAAGAGUGAAGCCCUCUUCACUCUUGUCAACUCCUUUCUUGCUUCUAGUCUAGUUUCAAGGGUCUCUAGUUUUCUUGUAUUUUGGCAAUAGCCAUUCCAGUUUCUUUCUUAAUAUACAUAUUUCUAUUUUGUCCUAUUUCUUUUUGAGAAAAGUCUCACUUACUCUUUAGCUUUCAUCGAGUUCUUGUCCUUGACAGAUUGACAAGAGUACACUUACAAUAUCAGAGCUUUGUCUUUUCUUGAUUAAGAGUGGAUUACCCCUUUUUCUUGAUAAGACAUAAGCGCAUUAGAAGUUGCGGAUUACCCUCUUUUAAACUGAUAUUGUUCUUAGUAUUUUCUUUGUUAUCAAUUCCUCUCUUCUAUUUGUUUUGAGCGUUAUUAGACAUCUUCUCUUUUCUAAGUGCUACUAUGGCAGAGCUUGUUGAAAUAAAGAGUGCAAUGGCACAGAUGCAAGAACAAUUGAGGGAGUUAAUGCUUGCGAUGCAUCAACUCAAUUUACCACCACAAGGAGCAACAAGAAUGGUAGGAAGUGAAGAUAUAGAGAUGAUUGGGGCUGCUUCAACAUCUGCACCAAACCAUGUCCCUUCUCCCAGAAUGGAACACCCUUCGAGUGUUAGAGAACCGAGAGUUGCCUUGCCCGAGAAGUUUGAUGGUACCAGAUCCAAGUUUCGAGGAUUCAUCAAUCAGGUCCAACUAGUGAUUGAACUUCAACCCCAGAGCUAUCCAACUCCAGGGUCACAAGUAAGAUUCAUUGGUACACUUCUUUCAGGUUCAGCAUUGUCAUGGUUUUCAUCUUUUCUUGAACGACGAGAUCCAAUAUUGGAUAAUCUGGAGGCUUUUUUGGCGGAGUUUCGAUCCAUGUUUGGAGAACAUGAUGCAAUUCGUGUUGCAACCAACAAGAUCCGUAUUUUGCGACAAGGCAAUCGAUCAGUAACAUUAUAUGCUUCGCAAUUUCGACAACUUGCAACUGAUAUCAAGUGGGAUGAUGCCGCAAUUGUGAGUCAAUUUCUCUACGGAUUACAAUAUGAGGUAAAGAAAUUGAUGCUUAAUUUACCUGAUCCUCAAACAUUGAGUCAAGCAAUUGACUUUGCUGUGAAGUGCGACAAUCGACUUUUUAAAUUUCGAUCCGAGAGUCGCAUAAGUGGGCCUCAACGUUACUACAAUUCAAUGGCAAUACCGACGUCUCCUCAACACAUACCUUCAGAAGUAGAGGAUAUGCAAAUUGAUGCGGUACGUUUCAAACCUCUUACUGAGCAAGAAAAGUCUCGUCGUCGACAAGAAGGAUUGUGCUUAUAUUGUGGAGAACCUAAGCACACUGCUCAACAUUGUCCAAAGAAGCGACGUAACUACAAAAUGAGGAGUACGGCUGUCAAAGAAGACAGUAUGUCGGAAAACGAGUACGUCCAGCUACAAUAGGGACCGUGCGGCUGGAAUCUUGUACAACUUCUAAUAAAGGUCCUAUCCUCUCCUCAGAACCAUCUCCUUGUUUUAUAAUAGAUGUGCGUUUAGGACCUAAUAAUUACAAAGCCUCUUCCUUGGUAGAUUCAGGAGCCUCAUCUUGUUUUUUAGAUGAAGAAUUUGCUAGAUGUCAUAGAAUAUCAUUAAUACAAAAAACUAAACCUGUACACGUAGAAGUCAUAGAUGGUCGUCCGUUGUCUUCUGGAGAUGUAACUCACGAAAUACUUCCUGUAGAUGUAGUAAUAAAUGGUCAUAGUAGUUGCGUAAUUUUUAAUAUAAUUAGAUCUCCCUCUAAUCCAGUAAUUUUAGGCUUAUCAUGGUUAGAAAAGUAUAAUCCUCGAAUAGAUUGGAUUUCUCGUAAACUUGAUUUUCCUCGGAGCAUUAGUAACAGUUCUAUUAAUCAAGUAAAAAACCAUGAGUCCAGUAUAGUAAAACCCGCACUUAUAGGUGCAAAAGCAUUUAUACACGCAGCAAAAGAAGGAUCAACUUUUGCUAUUUAUGCUGCACCUAUUUCUGAAAGCGUAAAGACUUCAAGUGGCAUUCCAAGUCAAUAUCAAGAUUAUCAAGACAUUUUUGAGAAAAAGAAUGCAGAUAUUCUUCCUGAGCAUCGCCCAUACGAUUGUUCAAUCGAUCUCAAGGAAGGAACUCAGCCACCAUUUGGACCAAUUUACAGUUUAUCGCAAGAUGAGUUGGCUGAACUCAAGACAUAUAUUGACGAGAAUUUAGCGAAGAAUUUCAUACGCCAUUCAAAAUCUCCAGCAGGAGCUCCAAUUUUAUUCGUAAAGAAAAAAGAUGGAUCUUUACGAAUGUGUGUUGACUAUCGAGGACUCAACAAGAUCACAAUCAAGAACAGGUAUCCAUUACCUUUGAUAUCAGGACUCCUUGACCAGUUAAAUCAAGCUAAGAUCUAUACAAAAAUAGAUCUAAGAGGAGCAUAUAAUCUAGUACGGAUCAAAGAAGGAGAUGAAUGGAAGACUGCGUUUCGAACCAGGUACGGGCAUUUUGAAUAUAAUGUCAUGCCUUUUGGACUCACGAAUGCACCAGCUGCUUUUCAACAUCUCAUGAAUGAUGUAUUUCGUGAAUUCUUAGACAAUUUUGUCGUCUACUACCUAGACGAUAUCCUGAUUUAUUCUAAGAAUGUUGAAGAACAUGAAAUACAUGUUCGUCAAGUAUUACAAAAACUCAGAGAUGCAGGAUUGUACGCCAAGAUGGAAAAGUGUGUAUUUCACACUACUCAAGUUGACUUUUUAGGAUACAUCAUUUCAAAUGAUGGUCUUAUGAUGGAUUCUAAGAAAGUCCAAACAAUCAUGGAUUGGAAGAUUCCAAAGACUGUAAGAGAUGUUCAAUGUUUCUUGGGAUUUGCCAAUUACUAUCGGAUCUUCAUCAAAGACUUCUCACGAGUUGCAGCUCCACUUACACGCUUGACUAGUAAAGAUAAAUUCCAAUGGAAUCAACAAGCGGAAGCAGCAUUUGAAGCCUUGAAGACAUCGUUUGUCUCUGCACCAGUCUUAUAUCGUGUUGACUUUUCCAAGGCAUUUUUUAUGGAAACAGACGCAUCGGAUUUUGCCUUGGGUGCAGUUUUAUCACAAAUGGGAACAGAUGACAAACUUCAUCCGAUAGCUUUUCAUUCAAGAAAAUUCUCAGCAGCCGAGAUCAAUUAUGAGAUCCACGAUAAAGAACUUCUUGCAAUCGUGGAUUCUUUUCAAGAAUGGCGUCAUUAUCUAAAAGGUGCUUCUAGUCCAGUCAUUGUGUAUACAGAUCACAAGAACCUCGAGUAUUUCAUGUCAGCACGCGUGUUGAAUCGUCGUCAAGCUCGUUGGAGUAUGUCUUUGUCAAGAUUCGACUUCAUUAUCACUUAUCGACCAGGAAAACAACAAGGUUUGUCCGAUGCCCUGUCUAGACGUUCUUAUUUUGCACCAAAAGAAGGAGAUGCAGCUUUUGAGCAACAAAGAACGGUCCUCUUGAAACCGGAGCAAUUUCAUCUCCGAGCAGUGAAAUCAACAUUGACUGUUGAUUCAACUUUUCUCAAGCAAAACCAGUCCAGUAUGUCCUCAGACCCUCUUGUUCAUGAUAUCGAGAAUAAUUCUUCCAAGUCUCAUGAUUCUUCUCAGUUCGAGUUCAAGAAUAAUCUAUUAUAUUUUGAAGGACGCCUAUAUGUUCCAGAAGGAAAAGCACGUUUGCGUGUUCUUCAAGCACGUCAUGACUUUCCAGCAGCAGGGCACUUUGGAUAUAAUAAGACUUUGGAACUCAUAUCAAGAGAUUUUUGGUGGCCACAAAUGUGGAAGUCAGUCAAAGACUUUGUACAAUCAUGUGAUAUUUGUUCAAGAUCAAAAAUUCCUCGACAUCGACCUUACGGACUUCUUCAGCCAUUACCUAUACCAGAACAACCAUGGUCUUCUGUUUCUAUGGAUUUCAUCACAGAUCUUCCAAACUCAAGAUCUUAUGAUUCUAUAUUUGUGAUAGUAGAUCGUUUCACCAAGAUGGCACAUUUUAUGCCAUGUACAAAAUCUAUCACAGGUGAAGAAACAGCUAAGCUUUUCAUUGAUAAUAUCUAUCGCUAUCAUGGAUUGCCUAAAGAUAUCAUAUCGGAUAGGGGAACUCAAUUUGUGUCGAGAUUCUGGAGGACUCUUUUCAAGAUUUUAAAAGUGGACAUAAAGCUAUCUUCAGCUUUCCAUCCUCAAACUGAUGGACAAACAGAGCGCGUAAACCAAGUCUUGGAACAGUAUUUAAGGUGUACCAUCAACUACCAACAAGAUGAUUGGACAAACCUUCUGCCAUUGGCAGAGUUUGCUUAUAAUAAUACGGUACAUUCCUCCACGCAACAAACACCUUUCUUUGCCAAUUAUGGCUAUCAUCCACGACUUGAUACUUUUGAUUUUUCAAAAGUUGAUAAUCCUGCAGCAGAAGAUAUGGCAAAUCGGUUGUCAGAGUUACAUACAAUAAUGAAGGCGCAGUUGAAGAAAGCUCAAGAACGACAAAAGAUAAAUGUAGAUGUAUAUCGUAAAGAGCAACCACAACUCAACGUGGGUGAUAAGGUAUGGCUACUUCAUCGCAAUAUCAAGACCACUCGACCUUGUGACAAAUUGGACUAUCGUAGGCUUGGCCCCUUUUCUGUUUCUGAACAGAUCAACCCAGUUGCAUAUCGGUUACAUCUACCAGAGUCAAUGAAGAUCCAUCCUGUAUUCCACGUGUCUCUUCUUGAACCAUAUAAGACAGUGGAUAUACAAGGAAGAAGACAAAUGCCACCGCCUCCUAUAGAAGUAGAUAAUAAUGAAGAAUUUGAGGUGGAAGAGAUAUUAGACUCAAGGCGGCGCCGAAAUAAGCUGGAAUAUCUUGUUCAUUGGUGCGGAUAUGAUAUUAGUGAGCGCACAUGGGAGCCAUCCAGGAAUCUAGCAAAUGCAUCAGCUAAAGUCAAAGUUUUUCAUCAACGACAUCCAUCAAAACCAAGAUGAAAACCUCUCUUAUAAAAGAGACAAGAUUGAGGCAAGAUAACAUUCAAUUUCCUAUCCUUGUUUGUAACUUCUUUGCAUUUUGUGACGCUAAUUAGAUGGAGAGCCAACAACCAGCGGAUUCAACUCAAGAACCUUCGUUUGCUGACUUACCGGAUGAGACAUUGCGAUUGUCACAACCUUCAAGACGACGCAACCGAGAUGAAGACCCUCAAGAACGACAUGUUCUUCCUCGAAUAGAUGGUGAAAUACAACGCGUUUGGUAUCACGACCUUGGAAGAGAUUCUCGAUGUUUGGUGAUAUUAUUGGAGAUAGGAACGACUACUGAUGGUGUUUCAAAUGUAUUAUUUGAAGGAAGUUAUGAAGGCCUCAACAGUGAUCAAAUAACAGGGUGGUCUUCUCGCCCUGGAAUGGGACACUAUCGAUGGCUAAGAGGACCCAUCAACUAUCUUCGAAGAGAACAAAGAUCAGAGUAUGUAGCAAAUACAAUUCGCCGCAUAUUAGAUUUUCUCAAUAUAUAAUCACCGCUCCUCGUGGAACUCGUCCCUAGAAGGGGGGGUAAUGUCACGGACAUACAUAUAAUUACCUAUAUGAAUAGAUAAAAGUAUGUAAAAGUAGGUUAAUUGUGUAAUAUCUUCUAGAAAAGCUUCUUAGAAGCUUCAUAGACGCUGCUUUGACUUUAUAGGAGUCUAUAGUUGACUUUUAGGUUAGAAACUUGGUCAACAAGUUAGCCAUGUGCCACGCAUGUUGGAAGCUUAAAGAACAAGCUAACUACGUGGUCCAUCCAUAGAAAACUUGCCUUGCAAGCAAAGGCAUGUGGCCUAGAAAGUCAACAUAUACUGGAGGUCUUAUAGAACAUCGCCACGUGGCUUCUAGUUAGAUAGUAUAUAUAGAGGCAAGAGUGAAGCCCUCUUCACUCUUGUCAACUCCUUUCUUGCUUCUAGUCUAGUUUCAAGGGUCUCUAGUUUUCUUGUAUUUUGACAAUAGCCAUUCCAGUUUCUUUCUUAAUAUACAUAUUUCUAUUUUGUCCUAUUUCUUUUUGAGAAAAGUCUCACUUACUCUUUAGCUUUCAUCGAGUUCUUGUCCUUGACACAAAGUGCGCCAUUUUUGUAAGCCGAUCUACCACAACAAAGAUGCUGUCAAAUGAGUUCGAUGAUGGCAGGUCCGUGAUGAAGUCCAUGGAAAUUGAAGACUAUGGUCGCUGUGGAAUCGGCAAUGGCUGUAGGAGUCCAUAAGGGCGAUGCCGAGGAUUCUUAGAUCUUGAACAGAUGUCACAGGAGAGGACAAAAUCUUUCACAUCCUUCCACAUUUUGGGCCACCAAAAAUCUCGAGAAAUAAGCUCCAAGGUCUUGUUGAAUCCAAAAUGUCCCGCAGCUGGAAAAUCGUGGCGAGAUUGAAGAACUCAGAGUUGUGCUGGUCCUUUUGGGAUAUAUAACCGCUCCUCAAAGUAUAAAAGAUCUCCCUCCACCUUGAACUUGUUGUCAUUGGCACGCUGCUUAAUAUCAAUGGCUACUGAAUCUUCAAUGGUCACGGCAUGUACCUGAUUCAAGAAGUCAGCAUCAAUUGGUACAAUAGUAGCGCAAAGCUGAAAUUGCUCUAGCUUCAACAAUGUCAUAUAUUGUUGAUCAAACGUUGCUUCUCCAGCCUUUGGUACAAGAUACGAUCUCCUCGAUAAAGCAUCAGAUAGUCCUUAUUGCUUUCUAGGUCGAUAAGUGAUAACAAAAUCGAACCUAGAUAGCAACAUACUCCACCGAGCUUGACGUCGAUUUAGAACUCGAGCCGACAUGAAAUACUCCAAAUUCUUGUGAUCUGUGUAUACGAUCACUGGAUGUGCAGCUCCUUCAAGAAAGUGACGCCAUUCUUGGAAAGAAUCCACUAUAGCAAGAAGUUCCUUAUCGUAGAUCUCAUAAUUGAUUUCAGCAGUAGAGAACUUUCGAAAAUAGAAUGCAACCAGAUAGAGCUUCUUGUCUUCUCCCAUUUGUGAAAGUACAGCUCUUAAAGCAAAAUCCGAAGCAUCAAUUUCUAAAUAAAAGGCCUUUGUAAAGUCUGGAUGUACUAAGAUUGGAGCCGUAGUAAAUGCGGUCUUCAAGUCUUGAAACGCCUUCUCUGCUAGAGGUCCUCAUUCCAACUUAUCCUUGCAUGUUAACCGAGUAAGAGGAGCAGCAAUUUGAGAGUAAUUCUUGAUAAAGAUCCGAUAGAAGUUAGCAAAACUAAGAAAGCAUUGUACGUCUCUAACCGUCUUUGGAACCUCCCAGGACACGAUUGCUUCCACUUUCUUGGGGUCCAUCUUCAAGCCUUCCGUAGUCGCAACAAACUCCAAAAACUCCAUUUCUAGUUGGUGAAAUAAACACUUCUCCAACUUGGCAUAUAGUCCUCGUUCGCGUAGUUUCUCCAAGACCAAACGAACGUAUUUUUCAUGCUCUUCCUCAUUUUUGGAGAAUAUCAAAAUAUCAUCCAAAUAGAUGACAACAAAAUCAUCAAGGUGCUCUCGAAAAAUGUCAUUCAUCAUAUGUUGAAAGACCGCUGGAGCAUUGAUAAGACCAAAGGGCAUGACAUUAUACUCAAAAUGGCCAUACCUUGUACGGAACGAUGUCUUCCACUCAUCUCCUUCCUUGAUUCGUACGAGGUUGUAAGCUCCCUUUAGAUCAAUUUUUGUAAAGAUCCUUGUAUGUCCAAGUUGUUCUAAGAGACCAGAAAUCAAGGGUAACGGAUAAUGAUUCUUCUUUGUUACCUUGUUGAGGCCUCGAUAGUCCAUGCACAUCCACAAUGAGCCAUCUUUCUUCUUCACAAAUAAGAUGGGUGCUCCAGCUGACGAUUUUGAAUAGCGGAUGAAGUUCUUGGCUAGAUUCUCGUCGAUGUACUUCCGCAAUUCCGCCAACUCUGUCUGCGAUAGAUUGUAGAUUGGGCCAAAAGGCAGUUGUGCUCCUUCCUGUUAGUCUAUGGUGCAAUCAUAUGGUCUGUGGUCCGGUAGCAUGUCGGUAUUUUUCUUUUGAAACACGUCUUUAAAAUCCUUAUAUUGCUCCGGUAUACUUGCUGUCGAGAUCUUCUCCUUGGUAGUUGGAGUCGCAUAAAUGACAAACGGUGUGCCUUCCUUGGACGAUCUUAUAAAUGCUCUUGCUCCAAUAAAUAAGGAAUUCUCUAUUUGGGGUUUUCUACUAGGCUUGCUCUUGGGUGGUUUUGUGAGAAAGGUCAUCUUCCACAACUUCCAAUCUAUGGAUGGGUUAUGCUUUUCCAACUAGGAAAGACCAAGAAUAACAAGAUUUGAUGGGGUUUUAAUAAUAUUGAAAAUAAUAUGAAUACUAUGGCCCUUAAACAUCACUUCUAUAGGUUUUGAUUCAUGGGUGACACUACCGGACAAUAAAGAUCGUCCAUCUAUGACCUCAACGUGAACAGGUUUGGAUUUUUGUACUAAAGGGAUCUUAUGAUGCUUCGCAAAUUCUUUGUCUAAGAAACAAGCAGAUGCUCUUGAAUCUAAUAAUGCUAAGGUUCUCAGUUUCUGAGGGCCAAUAAGCAAAGGAAUUGUAAAACAAAGGGCAGGUUGAGCGGAAAGAAAGGAACCUGGUUGUUGUUGCGAUAUUUUAGUGUCCAGCCGCUGUCGUGUUGUAACACGAGUAUACAGUGAAAAUAAAAAGAAAGGGGAAUUUUAUUAAUAUUCAGUUACCUCGAAUAUUGGGAGCAUCGACCAACUCCAGUACAAAUACUCAGUGGUCAGGUUCAGUCACCCCGUUACAGUCAGCCGGGGCAUACUGAAAUGCUCCGUUCGAUUCUAAUAACGGGAGUUAGGAGGAUGAAAAGGACCAAUUCACACGACGGGUUUGAAGAGCCAAUUGGAUCCAAUUUCGAGAAUCCAAUCCGGGUCCUCUUAUCCAAUAUGAGACCUAUAUUGGUGGGGCAACCCAAUGCAGUCUAGUUAUGGGAAAAUCCAGGUCUUACUACGGGCCUCAGCCAGUCUGACGCGAAGACCAAUUUGACCCAAUUACGUGAGCAUCCAGGUUACUACGGGCAUCUUACCCAAUAUGGGACCUGAAUUGGUCGGGCGACUCAAUGUGGUCCCGAUUACGGGGUUUCGAUUCUGUUUCGGUCUGUCCUGUUCUCUGUGCCGUUUCAAUGAACGUUGUUUACGGUAAAUGGAUCUCUUAAAGGUAAAAACAGAGGAGAAGGCCUUGAUGACGUGAGCCAAUUUCGGAUCUAAGCUCUGACGGCGGGAGCCAAUUUUGGAUCUAAGAUGGAAGAUUGAAGAAGUUCAGAGGAUAAGGUUAGGGGAGAAUAUAGUUUUAGGGAGGGGAGGUUUUUUUUUCUUUCGGGGAAUCGAGGGGGGAGCUAGUUUUCAAGCUUUUGCAAGGUUACCAGUUCGGUUUCAUUGGAGGUUUUUGAAGAUCAAGGGAAUUAGAGAGAGGGGCUUCAUGCUUCGGGUCGGGGAAGGAAAGACAUAGAAUUUGGAUUUUUCUUCUUCGUAGAGUUUUGAGAAGACUGAGGCAAUCGCGGCUGAAGUCAGUGUUGUAAUUGUGAAUCGGGAUUUUUAAAUAAAGUGGGUUUGAAUACUCUUGACUGUUUUGUAAAAUCGAGUUACGUUUGUGAUUGAAGGAUUAAAGGGGUGUCUAUAGGAUUGAGUAUGCGGAGUGAAUGAAAUUUAUUGGGUUAAUCUAACAGGACAGUCAGUGGAUACAAGAUCGUAAGUACAAAGGGGUAUUGAAGAUUAACAGUUUGGGUUGUUCGGGAUUCUCUGUAACGUCUAGAGACCUAUCGGUUGGGAAAAAAAAAAAAAAAAAAAGACUUCGACAAGCAGUCGAAGAGCAUCCGUAUAGAUUUACGGUACAUUGUUGCAGUCGUUUAUAUUCCAGCAGUCAAAAACUGAUAGACUGCUUGACUAUCGGCGAAUCUCCAUACUACCUUCUACAGCCAGACGUCCGGCGCGUUCUCGAGUAGGAAAGCACGUAAUACGACACCGCAUGAUUCCUAUUGUAGCUUGGCAUCCUCGUUUUCCUGAAUAAAUGUGCCCGUAGUCUUGAUAAUACGUCGAUUUUGCUUCUUGGGGCAGUUUCCAACUUUGUGGCCUUCUUCACCGCAAUACAAGCAUAGACCUUCUUCCAUACGCUAUUUUUUUUCUUCUAGAGUAAGAGAUUUGACAAGUACCGCAACAAUUUGCAUGUCUUCUACCUCUGAAUGUGAAUUCACGCUGCUUGCCGACAUAGUUGGGAUGUGGCGAAUCAUAUGUUGUCUUGAACGUUGGUCUUGGCGACGUUGGAAUAGGCGGUUAUCGCACUUCACAGCUUGGCUAAUAGCUUCGUUGAGCGUUUGCGGAUCAGGAAGAGUUAACAGCAAAUCCUUCACAUCGUCCCUAAAAUCCCAAUAGAAUUGACUCAUCAACGCUUCUUCGUCCCAAUUGAUGUCGCAUGCUAAUUGCCUGAAGUCUGAUGCAAAGAUUGAUGUAGAACGCAUCCCUUAUCGUAGUGACCGGAUCUUUGUUGUAGCCCAUUGAACCUUGUCGUGUUCACCAAAUGCUUCCGCAAAUGCCUCCAAAAAGGUUUCAAAGUUAUUUAAUAUGGACGAUCGUUUCUCAAACAAAGGAACAAACCAUGAUAGAGCUUGUCCUGUAAGUAAGGUUCCAACAAGCCCAACACGUGACUCCUUUGUUGGAUAGCGUUCGGGUUUUAAAACUGUUAUCAACCUGAUUUGGUUGACAAAUCCUCGAAACUUGGAACGCGUACCAUCGAACUUGUCCGGAAGGCUAACUCGGGGCUCCUUAUGUUGUAGAACCAGCGGUGCUUGUCGAACCUGAGGCAAAGUUACUUCUCCAAGUGCAGAAGUUUGAGGCUAGUGCAACCUAGAUUGUGCCAUCCCAGAUGUUCCAUCAUUAUGAAGCCUUGCCACGACUCCUUUAAUCUCUGUAGUUCUUUGCGAUAACGUAGCGAGGGCAUUCAUGAUAGCAUCUAACUUGGACUCUGAACUUUCCGUCAUACUAAUGUCUUGAUCCCCGGCCAUUCUAAGAGAAGGACAGAAAUGACUCUACAAGAAGACAAUAUUGGUUUAGAGGAGGGUACUCCGUAACCUCUAAAAUGCCUUAAGAGCUUCAAGAAAAGGGGUAAUCCACUCUCUCCAAGAAGAAUAAGACUCCAAUAUUGUAACAAAAGAAGUAUCAGUUUAGAGGGAGGUAAUCCGCAACCUCUAAAAUACUAGUACACUUCCAAGCAGAGGAGUAAUCCACACUCUAACAAAGAAGAACUAGCUCUGAUAUCUGAGUUGAGUGAAGUCUCGACAAACUGUUAUGGACACAGAAUACAGACUUGAUAUCUACCAAGAAGUUCAAGAAGAACUGGCAAGAACUAGAUUAAUCAAAUGAAUACAAGAACAACACCAGAGAGGUGAGCUAGAGCUCUAAGAGAUGUGUUGUCGAGACUGAAGAACUCUUCAACCUCGAUUCCAAUAUAUACUCCUAUUUAGGAAGCUUCUCAAGCAACUUCUACCAACUAGGAAGCUUCUAAAAGAUUCCAGAGACUUGCUUCUAGAAGGUUCUAGAAACUUAUCUCUAAAAGGUUCUAAGGACUAUGUCUCUAACAUCUUCUAUCAACUAAGAAGCUUCUAGAAGAUUCCAGAGACUUGCUUCUAGAAGGUUCUAGAAGCUUGUCUCUAGAAGGUUCUAGAAACUUGUCUCUAGAAGGUUCUAAGGACUAUGUCCCUAACACUAAGUCUUGGAUCAAGCUUUGACUCACAACAUAUAUUAAACACAUAUAUAUCUAAAAAACUUCAAAAUUUUAUUUAUGGAGCUACUAUCAAACUUACGAAAUUUUCCAAAAAGUAUCUCUUCUUUUAUCUCACAAAUCUAGUAUCACCGAAAACAAACCUUAACUUUGCAAACCUCUUACCAAGUCAAUAAAAAUUUAAAUCACCUCAAAUUAAUGCUUAUUGAGAUCUUAUCAAGUUUGCUUUCUAAUUGUACUCUUUGAUUUACCAAAAAAUACCUAUUUUAUCAUUGAGGCUUAAAUUUGUGCCUUAAGAUCUGAUUUUGACUCUGGUUCAUAAUCAACCUUCUCUGGGUAUCAAUAUCUAAUUUUUCUUAGUAAUUUUUACUAUAAUUUAUUCUUAACUACUUUUUAAAGAUGCUUAUAGUAUUUUUUUUCCAAUCUACUUUGUUUAGCCUUAUUUAUGGUCCUAUAAAGUAAAUAGAAGUUACUUU